rnacentral:lncRNA from 1 species
UUUUUUUUUUUUUUUUUGUAAUCUGUAUCAUGAGCUGCAAAAUUAUAGGUUAUUUUGUCUUUUUUAAACCAUGUGCUAAAAUAGAUGAGCUUCUCUUUUUCUUUUUCUUUUUUAAAUAAAAGUGGUAUUCAAAAUCAAGAGAUAGUUGGAAUCUUUAAAUGGUGAAAUCCAAAUCGACUUGUGUUUAAGGAUAGGUUAGAAUAAAAUGCUAAGAAAUAACCGAUGGAGCUAUUCUAUAAAUGGGUAACAAACUCGUGUUGAAGGUUAAAAAAUACAUAUUUAUAGAAUCAUUUUUUUCAUAUUCGGAAGAAAAAAGCUGGACCUACUGUAAAAGUUCAAAAACGAUAAUCCAUUUCUUAAAUUGCAUAUUUUUUAUGAAGAAAGUUUAUCCUUUUGCCAAAAAAAAAAAAAAUGUUUACAUAGAGAUCCCUUUUUUUUUCGCAAAACAGAAGGACCCUCUGACCAUUCUAACUCAAAAUACAACCGGGCAGCAGCUUGCAAGGGAGUGCAAGGUUCCCUUGUACCAUUCGUGUGGCAGUAGUUGGUGGUGGGAUAGCCAAAAGACCAAAACACCACCAAUUGAGUCAGCCGAAAGACCAAAAUACCCCUCAACUGAAGCAUGCUUUCUUAUCCAAGAUGAUUGGUCUUUCAUGUUAUCGUUUGUCAAUCUAGGAAUAUCUUUUUCGCAGGAAAAUUAGGAAAGAAUAGUAGUUUGGGAAGGAGACAAAAAAAACGUAAAAAAGAGGGAGUUGUUCCCUUGACUUUGGAGAGUAACAUAUCUGCUUGAGGGGAGACUAUCUAUCCAUCCGUCGUUUGUUCUUUUGGCCAAGGAGCGGAAGGCUUUUUUUUUUCUCUUUUGAUUUUUCGAACGUUCAUGUACUCAACGAUGAGCAACUAAUUUCCUCUCUCUAAUUUGGUUUAACUACAACUGUGAAAUCUUAUUAUUUUUAUUUAUUUUUUUAUUCAUUAAUAUUCAAUGUUUCUGAUUUAAUUUCUUAUGAUUAUUUUGUUAUGUAAAUAUCAUGGGUCUGAUAUUUGAAUUAACCUAAUAAUCAAAUAUCAUAUUAAUUAAUUAAAUCUGUAAUUGUUUGAUUGGUUAAUAUUAGUGACGACUAACGUGAUUAAUUUCAUGUUAGAGAAACAUAUGAUCUAAUUUAAAUAAACCUUGGUUGUGAAUUUAUUGAUUAGAAUAGGAUUUUUCUAGUUUUUAAUACAAUGAAAAAAUUAAAUUCUACGGACGUACCUAGAGUUUUUUUUUAUUAGAAAAGUAAUUAAUGGGCGUGACUUAACUAUCGACACAGUAAGAAAAAUCUGAUGACAAAGCCAUUUGUCAUCACUUAUUUGGCAAUUAUAACCUGCUUGUUAACGAAUAAAUGAAAUAGUUAUUGCAUCAAAUGAACAGUUGUGUGUACCACUUACGAAGUUUCCUUCUUCGCUAGAGUUUGCUUAUUAUUAAAUUAAUUUAAAUUUUCUUUCGUUUGAUUGCUUUUAGUUAAAUUGAUCUUUUUAUUUCAAUAUUUUAAAACACCCAUUUAAUUCUUGUUUGGAAGGAAAUAAAAUUCAGGCCUGUUUGACAAGUGAGUUUUUUGGGUGUUUGUCUAAAACUUUACUAUAGUUUAUUGUAGAAGUUUUUAAAAAAAAUUUUGAAGUAUGUAAAUUUUUGAAUAUUUUGAAAUGUAUAAUUUAAAAACUUUAAAAAUUUUUUUAAAGUUACUGUAGCUAAAUUUUUUAAAAAACUUAUAGCAGAUAAACUUGACAAAAAAUUCAAGUGCCAAACCGGGCCUCAGUUCUUGAGAAAACGAUCCUACUCACCGUGUACUUGAAAUUAAAAUUUUAGAAUAUAAAUUUUAAUUUCGGUGAUUUGAUACCCAUCAUAGCAUGGUCAGAUGUUCUGUUCUAGAAGAAUAGAAAAGACUAGACAAUCAAACGAGCACUCAAUUUCAACAAAUUGAUUACGAUUGUUCUGGUAACAAUCAAGCUAUGUCAGCAGUUAUUGAAGGCAAGUCAUAAUGUGAGCAGCCAGAAGAAACAAUUGAAAGGGAUCGUUCUAGGGUAGGUACGCUUUGACCGUGCGCCUACCGUGGGAACGUGCUCAGAGAUGGACACAUGUACUGAUCACUAAUGUAGUGGACCUUGUAGAGGAAAAUUGUCAUUAGAAGUCAGGUUAUUAUCAUUUUACUCCUUAAACUAUAUUACUAUUAUCAAUUUAUCUUAUUAUGUUAUCUUUUAGUCAUUUCACCUAGGGGUGGCAAUUUUCGACACGACCUGAAAACAAAACACGAACCUAACACGAAAUUAAUGGGUUUGGGUUGAGGUUUCGGGAAUUCGGGUCAGAAUCGGGUUGGACCCGAUGAACCCGAAAAGAAAACAGGUCGAUUUCGGGUCAACCCGUGGUGACCUGAUAUGACCCGAUAUGACCCAUUAACGAAUUAAAAAUAAUUUAAUAAACAUAAAAAUAAUUUAAUCUAACUAAACUAAGUUAUUCUUUUUUUCAAAGGCAUUAAUUACUUAAUUCUAAAUGAAUUUAUUUAAUUUGUGUGAAGUUGAAAUUAUUAUAUUUGGACAAAUAAUAUAUUAUAUUAUUUUUUACUUUUAUGCUGUUUUAAUUUAUUUUAUAUUUUGUUUGGGAUAAAACACUUUUACGGUAUUUAAUUUAUUUUAGAUUUGGUUUGGAAUUAUUUAUUUAAAUUUUUAUUACUUGAUUAUGUAAUUAGUUUUAUGAGAAAUUGAUUUUAUUAGAAAUUACAGUGAUAAAUUAAUAAAUUAAAAUUAAGUUUCGGGUCAUUUCGGGUCGACCCGCCAACCUGAAAUUUUCGGGUUCGGGUCAGCAUACCUGACCCGUCACGGGUUGGCGGGUCGGGUUCGGGUCGACAGAUUUUCUGACGGGUUGACCCGAACCCAACUCGCCAACCUGAUUUGGACCCGAAUUGCCACCCCUAAUUUCACCUUAUAGAAAAUUCAACUGUUGAUAAAUUUUUGAUAAAAAUAUCUUUUAUUUUAUAGUAUUACUAUAUUGUUAUUAUCACUUUAUCCCUUUAAAUUAUAGUGAUGUAGUCGCUUUACUAUCUUCUAGAUGUUUUACCCUAUCAUUAAUCUAAAAAAUAUGUUAAAAUAUGGUUAAAUGUAUUUAUUUUUUAUAUAUAAUUAAAAAUAAAAAGUUGAAAUAAUUAUUCUUCCUUUUUUUCACUCUAAGAUUCCAAAAACAUAAAAAUAAAAAUGUAUUCUCAAAUUUCUUUUUUCACACUUAUUAUACUUGAAAAAGAAAAGUAGAUAGGACAGAAGUAGACAAAAAUUAGAUUUUGCAAAGAAAAAAAAUAAAAAAAUCUAAUACUAUCGUAUUACUUUAAUGUCUUAGGGAUUAGGAUUGAAAUUGGGUAAUAAACAGAAAAAUAAAUUAAUUUUAAAAUAAUAAAAUUAUUGAAUUCUUUCUUGUUUGUAUUAAAAAAAGAAGUGAGCUCUCUCUCUCGCCACUCUAAAUUUUUUUUUUAUAUAAAAAAAUGAGGGUACUAUUUUCUAAAGUUUUUUAACUUGUUAAAUUGGUUUAAUGGUGGAAUAAAUUGACUAAAAAAUAAUUUUAUGGGGUAAAUUCAUAAUAAGAUUAUAAUUUAUGGGGAUAAAGUGAUAUUAAUUUUAAAAGUUAAACAUGUCUUAUCAUUUGAAUUAAUAAAUCGUUAAGUUUAAUCGUUAGCUUUGGAAGUAAAAUGACUAAAAAAUAACGUUAAAGAGAAAAUUGAUAGUGACGCCAAAUGUUAAGGAGAUACCGAGAUAGGAAGGAUUGAGUGAUAAUAACCCUUAGAAGUCACACGCGCAUGCCCAACUCGGGGUGGGUCGUGUGGUGUGUUGCUCCUCUUUAGGAUAUGGCCACCAAGGAUCGAGUUUCAAAAUUAAUGUGUUCGAGAGGAAUGGGUCUCUCUUUUCGGGCCGCAGGAGAUUAGUCGGGUCGAAAGUCCAGAUACUCCUGUGUAAAAAAAAAGAAAAAAAAAGUCACGCCCAUGAAUUGAGUGCAAGAACCAAUGGAUUUCGAGGACAGUAAACUGCAAUAAAACAUGUCUGGUGGCGGGGAGGAUGUACAUGUGCCUCUUUAAGUACAAUGAAAUACCGCCUUCUUUCUCUGAUGGGAGCCUUUUCUCUCUUGGAGAAAGAGCUUUUCUCUACUUAGGUAGGAGUUUCAAACUCUCAAAAAAACCUCAAAUUCAAAAUCCUUCAAAAGUUCAAGACCCUUCAAAAUUCAAGAACCAAUUGGACACCCAGAUCUGCUACAAUUUCAGCGAACAAGAAACAUUAAGGCAAACGACACGGUAGAUCUGGUGAGGCUGCCAUCAAAACAGAAGAAAUACAACCACAAAGGGAACAUAUGGAGAAAAGAUGAAUUAAUGGCAAACAAAAAGGACCACAAGCACUAAGAGAGAGAGCCAGGAAACCACUAUCAUGGGACGGACCACGGGCAGGAACGGUUGCUAGCGGUUUUGUGCAUUUUACACACCGCGUAAUUUUGUUUGCAUAUGGCGUAACUUUAUUUGCACAACGUGUAACUUUAAAACAAAAUUUUGUGAGUCUCACACACGUUAUAAGAAUCAAUGUAUAAAAAAGUGAUCUAGAUCUUAUAAUUUUUUGUGACCAAAUCUUGGCUCUUAACUGCUCCUCUUCUAGAUGAUCGCUCCUGCCCCUCAUCCAUCACGGGACAUGUGGAAGACUGAUUCAGCUCACAUAAAAAAAUCCCUCGGGUAAUUGGUCUUGAAUCCUUGGCUGCUUUCUCUUCAUUUAUUCCUGCAUUUAUGACUCUUUUAGCUUCUGUCAGUCUACUAGUUGGACAUGAGUUCUCUUCCUAACUUUUCCUUUAGAAUUCUAGAAGAGUUACCUAGGUUCUGUCAGUAUAGUUGGUUUUGAUCUACCUUUUCGUCUUAGUUGUCCUAACAUACUCCCAAUAGUCCUGCCCUAGCUGGAGUACAGGAAGUUCUGCUCCUCUUUUUGCAGAUUUGGUUAGCUCCCAACACUGAGUGCUUAGGCUGAAAUUCCCACUAGUAUCCUAAUCAAAAUGGCAGAUAAGAUAUAAUGCAGAAAUUUGCUCUAAACAACAUGGAAUCUGUCGGAACUGAUCUAGACAGUGGGGAUCUGAGACCUGGACUUGUUGAAAGGUAAACAUUCUUCAAUUGAGAUAAAAGUAUUCGAGGAAAAGAAAAGGAAAAAGAUGAAAAACGUUCCACUUGUUUCUUGCAGCCAAAAAGAAGAGGUGCCUAAUGACUGCUAACUCGUCUUCUGCUUGGAGAGAGAGAGAAUAAAGAAAACGAUAAUGCCUGUCCCUUUUUUUCAUUUCCUACUAACACUGAACUACUCCUAAUUCAAAUCAAAUUGUUCCAACUAUGUUAACGAAAAGGAAGAGUCAACAUAGACAAAAUAGUCUAGCUUUCUAGUAGGGAUAAAAUAUUUUAUCCCUGUGGUGGAACAUCUGAUUCAUAUGACUUCAACUCGCGACUGGAUAUUACGCGCCAGCUCUUGAGUUUUCCGGAUGUGCAUAAUUUUUAACUUUGACGUGCUUACACCGGACAACAAGUUGAGUAAAUAAUCACGCUUUUUUAUUAUUUUUUUGUUCCAAAUCCCUACAAUCGACAAUAAUUAUCAAAAAUAAAUAGAAUAUACCAAUUAACUCAAUAUUUGAUAAAAUAAAAGAGAUAAAUCAUUAUGAAAUUAAUAACAAAAAUGCAACGUAUCAAUAAUAGGGAAAGUGAAAGGGGAGAAAACGGGGAACUACACAGACAUGAAAAUUUUUGUGGUUAGUGUGUGGAACUACCCAAAGGACCCUGGAGUGGCAGAACUGGGACCAAACCUAUUCCAAUUUACAAUCCCGGAUGAGAAAUGAAGAACAAGGAUACUCACAGGGGGACCAUGGAUCUUGCACAAUCAAAUCCUAGAACUCAAUGAGUGGUAUAAAGGAAUUGAGGAGGAUGAAACUACAUUUCAUGUUGCACCAUUGUGGAUACAAGUUUGGAACUUGUGUCUACACUGAAUUUUCAUGAGGUCAAGGACGUGAUCAUCCCCCAAACAAGUGGGAAGGAAGGGAGACACUUAAAGUUGCUGGCUCUGGUGGACAUCUCCCAAUUACUGAUGAGAGGAACCACUGUCAGAAUGAAUGGAAUAAUCAAAUGGGCAAAAUUUAAAUAUGAAAGAUGCCCAGACUUUUGUUACCAUUGUGGGAUUACAGGACAUAGUGAGAGGACUUUGCAAGGUACACAUGAAUAUCCAACAUGAACAGCAGGAAAACCAAUAUGGUCCAUGGAUGAGAGCUUCAAAUGAAAGGGUGUCACCUCAGAAAGAGACAAUAGUGAACAACUAUGGCUCGAACAAGGUUCACCGGGGAGUACAAAAUGGGGAAUUAGUCAAGAGAGACAUGAGGAAUGCAACAACUAGCAAGAUGAGGCCCAGCAGUCAUGAGCGGGUCCCUUCAUGACUGCUCAAAUUUCUAAAACCACUUAAAGACAAGCAAUAAAAUGGACCCUUUAUGACUAUCCUAAUUUCUAAUAUUAAUACCAAAAAAAGAUAAACAACAAAAGGGUCCAUUUACGGCUUUCUUGGACCCGUGGCAAUAAUUCUUUAAUUUUCUCCCCCUCAAAUUCUAGAAUCUCCAUUGUUUGACCAAAUUUUAAAGUAAUUGCUGGAAAAUAAAUGUAAUUUGUAGUUCACAUAUGGUAGGUCUCUUUUUUAAAAAAAAAUUUAUUUACAAAAACUUGUGUAAGUUCGAUUUGCAGUCUAUUUAUCGACUAUAUAACAUAUAAUAUAUGCAAUAAUCACAUGAAUUUUCUGACUUUUAUCAUCCUUCAUUCAUCAUCAAUUCUCUUACACAACCUUACUCAAAGUGACCAUUGCAUAUAGCACAUUAUAUGCAAGAACAUCCACAAGCAUAUUCGUUCAACCAAGUCUAAACAAGUUUAUUUAAAAACAAUAACAAGAAUUGUAACUCAAUAAUACUACAAACUAAUCGAAACUUAACUUGCAAUUGGGUUUGAUGAUAUGGUGGAAAGGAUUGUAAAUAGGAGAUCAUUAGUUAUAGACCUCUCACUUACAAAAAAAAAAAUUAAAAUGGUGUAAUGAAUAUGAAGAUAUAAUAAACAUAUGAAUUUUUUUAAGCAAAUUUCAAAAUAAUAGCUUCCACCAAUUAACAAGUCUAUUAUUUAAAUUACUAGGAGAGGAAUGCCUGCGCAUCGCGGGAGUAUUUGGUACUUGUGGUUAAAGAAGAUUUUUCAUUGGACAAAUAAUAAUACAUUUUGAAAAGAAACAGUUAUGAAAUAUGACAAAAAAAAGUUUGGAAUUCAUUGUCCAGUUCUAAAGAAGCUAGAGUCUGAUACUUUAUAUAUAUAAAACGUGUUCAACACCAACAUAUAGUUUGAGUAUUUGUCCGCGCAUCACACUUAUGAAGUCCUAAAGGGCAGAAGAAUAAACUAUGAAGAAAUACCUUGGAAUCUGGGACACCCUCAAGAGUCUCCUUCUCUAAUAAAAGCGCAACAAAUCCAACAAUAUUCUUUGCUUUCCUAUAUGUUUCAACAGCUUAACAGUUCACCAAACAAUUGACUUCCGCCAUUUCUAACAUAUGUAGUUUACAAUAUUUUUUUUCCUUUUUCACGGCUCAACUAACAAUUGCCUUCCAAUCUACGAAAGUAAGAAAAAAUACAAAGAGCAAAACAAGUAGUCAUGGGGUGAGAUUCUUGCCAGCUAGGUAGUAGUAAAUUUUGUAGAACCAUCAGAUCCCUAGGCCAUCAUGGUUACCCUCACCGUUCUUCCUGCCUUUGUCCAAGUUCAUUUGCAGCAUCACUCCAUCCUCUGUUCCUUCUCUUCCCCAUUGCAACUGCUAAACACAGCAAGUCAAGUUUCAUUAGAAACAAAAGAAAAUAGAUGUGAUCAAACAAAAACAAAAAGUAAUAUAGUAGAUUAAAUGAUUAGGUUUGGUGGAUUUUGGGCUUAUGUUCGGUGCAUUCAAAUGUUUCUACUAUAGGCAAUUUGAGACUUUGUGGCGGCGGUGAUAGGGUGUUAAUUGUUGGUUAUUUUAUUGUUAAUUUUUUCCUUUAUUCUUACCAAAUAUUGUUUUAAUUAUUAAUAUUUACUUAUAUUUGGUAUUGGACUCAAUUUCAGGAAGUGAAACAGAAAACUACAAAAAUGAGGGACUUUUUGGAGAUAAUUGGGAUUUCAAACAACCGGGCCCACAUGGUGCUACAAAGAGAUUGUAUUUCCUUUGCUGAUUAGGAGAUUGGAGUCCUACGGGCAAUAGGAAACUAAAAGCAAGGAAUUCGGUAGAGCCCCACCUUUGGUUUGAUUCUCAAUUCCAGCGGGGACCACAGGGAUAAGAAGCUUUAGUCAUUGUUGGCUUUAAAAAGGAGACAAACGUACAGAGAACUCUGAUCAAUCAAUAGUUUUAGUUUAGGCUUUUAGCAUAGUUUUAGUUUUUCUUUUCUUAGCUUUUUCGCAUGGUUGUUCUCCAUUAAUGAAGGACUAACCUCUUAAUUCUAGUCAAGGGGACAACUGAAGACUUGGUUCAACAAUUACUGUGAGAUCGAAAUUAUUUUAAUCGCUUCCUCAUUUAUUGGUAUUCAUGUGUUUCCUGUUUUUAAUUGUUAUAGUCCUUAUGUAUGAUUGAUUAGUGCGCAAUAAUUAAUUAUUCAUAUAGGUUAUUUUGCUAAAUAGAGGUAAUUGAAUCCGUAAUUGUUCGUUAUCUCUAUCUUAGUAGCAACUGGCGUAAUUGGGUUUAUGUCAGGGGAGCAUACGAUCUAGUUUAAACAAACCCUCGUAGCGUGCCCACGCCAGAGGGAAAGAAAUUUUCGUUCAAGAUCUGCGGACUCUAUAGCAGUUAGACGUGCCCACGCUAGGUGGUCACGCUAACGGAUCGAGAAUUUUCGUCGGAUGGUCAAAAGACUAGGGAGCGGUUAGGCAUGCCCAAGCCUAAGCUAGAGAUUCUUUGAAAAAAAAAAUUAAAAAUUUUAUAUUGAGAAAAUUCAAAAACUCAAAAAAAAAAAACAUUUUUUCUUCUUCUUCAAAAAUUCAAAUUUUGGAAUUUCAAAUUCAGGAAAAAAUUUGGAAAAAACAUUGAGAAAAAAAAACCCAAAAACUAUUUUUUUUUUCCUCUUUUUCUUUUUCUCUUUUCUUUCUUUCUUUCUCUUUUAUUCCUCUUUUUCCUCGCUUCCUUCUUCUUCUUCUUUUCUUUUCUUCUUCGACCGAGACCCAAGCCACAGCGCGCCGCAUGCCGCCUGAGCUCAACGCUGCCGCGCCGUCGCGCGCAGCCUCCCCUGCGCAACCUCCACCAGCUCCACUCUCUUGACCACCUCCACCUCAGCUCAACCUCUACCAGCUCGCCAUCGCCGCCGCCGUCCAGCCCUGAGCUCCACCGCACGGUCGCUCCCACCACUGCAGCAGAUCCAGCUCAGCCGCCUGCCCACGCCCCACAGCCCAGCGCCGCAACAGCUUGCUGCUGCCUCCAACCCCACACGACACACAGCGCCCGAACUGCCAUCGCCGAUCGCCGCCAGUCUCCCAGCUCCCCCUCUGCGCUCUCUCCACUUCGUGAACCAGCCGCACUUAAGCUCACCUCCACCAGCUCUCCCUCGCACGCCACUAGCUGCUCCGCUGCUCGCUCCAUUCCCACCUGUCCAAAUUGACAGGUGGAGGUAUUGAACCUUCAACUUCGAUUAGUAUUUUUUUUUUCUUUUUUUUUCUUCUGGUUCUGCUUUUGCUAGAUUUUGCGCUUGUGUGUCUGGGUUUCUUGUUGGAUAACAGAGAGGGUUGUUGUGGGCAUUUUCUAGGGUGAAUUUUGGACAGAUUUGGGUCUAAUUGCUACCAUAUGUGGGGAUAUUUUCUGAUAUUUGUUGAAUUGUUGGCCGUCUGACCUUCCCUAUGUGUAUACCAGUGGUACUGGUUGGAGUGUUUUGUUUACAUUCAUUGAUUUUAUGUGGUCGCCUGUCUGAUUGCGAGCUAAUGACCUUGUACUUCUGUUGUUGUUCGCAAUUUCACCUGUGGUUGCUGAAAUUGCCAAUUUCUGGGGUCAUUUGCUACUUUUCACAGGUUGGAUUUCUUGUUGGAUCCAAGAGGGUGAUAAUUUGGGCAUUUUCUAGGGUCAAUUUUGGGACAAAAUUACGUUUAUUUGCUGCUUUGUUUGGGGAUAUUUUCUGGCAUCGAUUACAUUAUUGAGUUGGCCAUUUGCUUUAGUUUUUCCCUGUGACUCACCAGUGGUACUGGUUGAGAUUUUUGGCCUAUCGUUGUGGCUCCUAUUUGAAGAUUCUUGCUUAUUUGAAAGUUUAAGUUCUUGUGAUUGGGUUGCUGCCGUUGAAUUUAAUUCUUUCCUGUCUAUGCACCAGUGGUACUGGUUGCAAUGUUGCUUUCCAUUUCUUAAUCCUCUGUGCUGGACUGCCUAUUCGAUUCUUGAGUUUUGGUGCCUGAACCAUUUCUGAAGUGUACCCUUGGCUAGAGUUUUCCCUUAAUUAUUUCUCUUAAUCAAUUAUUUCCUGCAGUUAAUUUAUUUAGUUAGUAUUUAAUCCAAAAACCCCCCAUACUUUGGACUCUAGAAGAAACGAAUUAUCCCCAGUCCCUGUGGAUUCGACCCUACUCACCGCUAUAUAUAAAAUCUGUAUUUUUCUCGAGUAGGUAUUUAUUAUUGCACAGGUUCGGCACCUGUCAGGCGGUGUGGUGCCUUUGUAAACCAAAAGGAACAAAAUUAAGACACCCACAAAGAGGAGAAGACUUACGAACAACCAGAGUCUCAAAUUUAAAGAUGUGAGCUGACACCGCUGCUACACACCAGAAAAACCAACCACAUAAACAACAGAAUUAAGGAACAAAACUUAUCUCAAGCUAAACCACCACAAAUAGUUGUAAUUGAAGACCAUUCUUGAAUGCUGAGUAUAAAGGGAAAAAAAAAUCCCAAUCCCAGAAGCAGGGGAGAAUCUAAAGAGUGUGAAAGAGAAGGCAUUGGAACAACCAUAACCGAUACUCAGACAUUAAUUCAUUAACAUACCCACGUUUAUGGCUGUUAAAUUGAGAUGUAAAUGACAGAAAAAAUGGGUUGUUUCUGACGUGAGCUUUAACAUCUUUGGGAGUUGCGCAAGUGAUCGGACAUAAGUUGUUUCAAAUAAAGAAAUAUCCUCAAACAGUUAUUUUUGCCUCAAAAGUUACACUUCAAUUAAAUGUGUCUAUAAUACCAUUUCAGUAUUUCUACAACAUAUAAGUUUAUAUGUGUUGUACUCUAUGCAAAAACGGUUGCAAAAUAAUUACACAUUCCACAAAUACCCAGUUGUCUUCAUAAAUCAAAACUUUAAAUGUAUUAAAAUGAGGACAUUUUGGUAAACAUGCCUAAACACAUGCUGUUCUCAGUUGUACCAAAAUUUUUAAAAAAACUACACAACAUUCCACAUUCUCAAAAAGUUCUAUUCAUCCAGUUGAAAUUCAAAACCUCUUUUAACCACAACUCAUUCUUAUAUAGUAUAAGGAUAUCUCAUUCAAUUUUUUUAUGACGUCACAAGGAAAAAGAGAAAAGAAUUGGUCACAAAUAUUUUUUUAAUCGAUAUUGAGUCAUAAAUCUUGAACAAUGUGUGGAUGAACAGAAUCUGCCUUUUUUUUCUUAAAAACAUAAAAAAGGGAAAAAGAAAUCAUAACAGCAGUGUUUUGAAAAUCGAAACAGACCGGCCGGUUUGAUGGGUUGAACCUCGAAUCAGCCAUGACAGUGGUCCAUUCUAUACUAAAGUUGAAAGCGUCAAAUAACUUAUCAAAAUUGGUCAAACUCAUCAAAACCGGUAAAUCUAGUCGAACCGGUGAUUCUCGAUUUUUCAAAGGAUUGAACUUGGACCUUUUCUAUUAAAGCCUAGCAUGGUAACCAGUGCACAAUCACAUCCAAUUAGUCUCUUUUGAGAACACAUUUAUGUAAAACAAACUUUCAUCUUUCUUUCCUCUGUUUUUUUUUUACAAAAUUUUAUUCUCUCAUGACUCUUUUCUUUUUAGUCUUCAACUCUCUUUCUCUAUCUCCUCUUUUCUUUUGUCACCCCUUUUUUAAUCCAACCUUUUUAGUUUUAAUUUAUUGAUAUUUUUUUCCAUCUUUUGUUUUUGUCUAUUAAUUAAAAAAAUUAAAAAAGAAUUGUUAUUCUUUAACCUUAAAAACUGAUUAUUAAAUGCCACAACCACUCACUUUUAUCUCAUUUUUUUUUUCUUCUUAUCAAGUUUGCAUCUCUAUUUUCAAUUCUCCUGACUUUCUUCAAACUCCAAAAUUCUUUUUUUUUUUAAGUUGCAAUUUCUAAAUUCCAAAAACGUGAAUUAAAAUUUAAACUCACAAUGUCUAAUUCUCAUAGACGUGAGUUUUAUAUAAUUUCAAAAUACUGUGGUAUUUUUAGAUUGGAUUUAAGAUUAUUUUUUUGGUAGAUAUAAUUGAGAUUGAGAUGACAUUUAUUUGUUUCUACUCAUAAUUUAAAAAUUUUAUUUUUGAAAAUCCAAAUUCUUUGAAAAUAUUAAAUUUUUUAUCAUAUAAAGUUUUAAAUUAGUCCACUGCAUGUCUUAUUUUGUGUAUAUAUAUUUAUAUAAAUUAUUUUGUAAAAAAUUCAUUGAACCGGUCCGACCGAUUGAAUCUUGACCCGAAUACCUCACCUGUUCAAUUAACGGUUUGAGUUUUAAAAUAUUGCACAGGAGUUAGAGGGAUGAAUAUUGAGGUGAUGAAGUAGAGGUGAUAAGAACAUACCAUAUUUCCCAAAGGCUCCAAGAUAUUGAGGCAUAACACUUGGUAAGGUGUCGUCAGAGAUAUUAUUAUUCUUGGUUUGGGCUUCUUUAUGCAGGGUUGACAUCUCUUUGAAGACUCAUGGAGCAGCUUGUAAGGGUUUCCUCUGAAACCCUUGUUCUUUUAGAAGUUUCUCGAGCUUCCUCGGCCUAAACCAUACCCAGUUCAAUGCUUGCCAUGACACUACUACUACUAGAAGAAGAAGAAGAAGAAGACAAGAAGAAUAUACAGUAAACAUUGACACAUAGAUGGUUUCCAUCAUGUGUUUUUGUUUUGUUGGUUUUCUUGUGAGAUUUCUACCUCUGUUGUGUGUAUAUUUACAUUGGAGUGGGGGCUAUGCAUCCAUUUACUUCAAGACAAAGGAAAUGAUUAAGAAAUAAAAGAGAUGAUAAUUAUCGAAAGUGAAGGGAGAAAAUUUGACCUAGAUGAUGUUCCUAUGUGGCUAUGAUACAUCAGGUGGAGCCUAUUCCCAAAUUUUGGAUUUUAGAGCAAUUAUCCGGUGCAGAUAAAGCUGGAUCCUAUAAAUUUGAAACUUGUUACUAAAGUCAAAUUUUUUUGUUCCAUGUUCUUUAAAACUCUGAACAUUUAUUUUUCUUUUCCUUUUUUCUUGGGAUCACAAAAAAAACUGAGUAUUUGUUUCAUCAAACUAAAGAACCCUUAUAAAGUAAUCUUAGUAUAUAUAAAACCUCGUGUCUAAGCUACGCUAACUUGUAAUAAUGUUUGAUGAAUUUUCAUCUCUUUUGUCAACUAUUCUUGUUCCAUAAUUUAUAGUGGUCGUCGGGGAUGACAAGUAGAUUUUUAAAAAAAAAAAUCACAAAAGAAGUAAGAAUGUAUGAAAUAUUGUUUGCUUUUAGGAUAAUAAGAAGUUGACCCAAAACUAACAGAAAAUGCGUUGCAAAAUCGCCGCCAGCACGUCCUUGCUAGUCCGGGUACAUGCUGAAUGAGAUCAUUGUCCAAACAAGCAGCACAGCAAUGGUCUCGAGCCCAGAAAAAUACAACGCCUUGCACUCCUCAAUAACUUCUCUUGUAAUUGUUCAAAAUUUCAUCAUGUCCAAGUUCCAAAGGAGAUCGACUUACCACUAAGAAAUAUUUUUUUAAUACUAGCUAAUAAAAUUUAUAGAGUCUACUAAUUAAUGUUUGAGAACAGCUGUUAAAUGAUUUUUAAGCCAUGACAAGCCAUUUGUUUUCUCGAUUAUCAAAGAAAAAGGAAAGAUCUCUUGCAAAAUCAAACCAAUAGAUGCAAUAUUUCUCUCUUCAUUCGCCGUGAGAAAAACAUUAGCAUUCUGUUUCAAUGCAUAGUAUCCAAAUCUUCAUUCUCUUGCAAAAUCUGUACUGCUAUAUUCAAACAGAUUCAUUGACAUAUCAUAUUGGGCGAGACUUGAACUAGUUUACAAGCAAAGUUAAGCAUAGAAACAAAAACUAUAUCUUCUGCAAAAUCAAGUGAGCUCCAGACUGGGGUUGAACUAGUGCUGUAGCUGUUCCAGGAGCAUGAGUAUAAGACGGUGAGAGUUCAAAGGAGAAGCGUUGCAGAAUCAUAGACAUUGCCAAUUUUGCUUCCAACAUGGCAAAAUUUUGUCCAAUGCAAAUGCGAGGUCCCCAGCCAAAUGGAAAGUAUGCAACCUGGCCCUUUGUUGCAUGUGAUACUCCUUCAGCAAACCUCUCAGGCUUGAAUUCCUUCACAUCCUCGCCCCAUUUAUCAGGGUCAUGAUGCAUCAGCACUAUUGGUAAGGUGAGUUGCACUCCAGCCGGGAGAGUUAAAUUUCCUAAUUUAGUUUCUUCAAUAGUUCUUCGACUCAUUGUAGCCAAUGGUGGACACAACCUUAAAACCUCAUGCAAGAUCAUGGUGACCUAUAUAUGGGAAGGGGACCCAAAACAAACAAAAAAAAAAAAGAAAAAAAAGGUGUGAGAUAGAGUAAUUAGGAUGUCUAUGCAGAUGAGAAGCUUCGACGAACUUCGUUAAUUAGCAUGUCUCUCCUGCCAUUAGUGCAAUUUUGCAAAUCAAUGAAAUGAUCAUUGCUAAUUUUAUGUUUUUCAAAGAAAAAGAUUGGCUUACAAUUUUGAGGUGAUUUAGCCCAUCAAAGUCCGGAUCCUUAGUUCCAAAUUGUUGCAAGACCUCCUCUCUAGCACGUGCCUGCCAUUCGGGGUACCUGCAGAGUAAGACCAUUGUCCAGACAAGUAGCGCUGAAGUAGUCUCCUGGCCAGCAAAAUAGAACACCUUGCACUCACCAACAAUUUCUUCGGUAGUCAUACCAGAGUCCUUAUUUCCAUGCUUCUCGAUUUCUUGAGAAUUGGAUUGAAGCAUUAAUCCCAACAAGUCAUCAGAGCCGGCUUCUCCUGCUCUCAUUGCCUUUCUUCUUGUGUUGAUCAUUUCCCUUACUGAACCAUUAACUUCUCUGGCAAUUUGUUUCAUUCUUCUGUUCCUCUUGGUUGGCAAGAACCUAACAAAGAUCACAGUUUAGGAAAAAAAAAAAAAAAAAGCAAGAACAAACUAUGUUUGCAACAAUGGUUUUGGCUCCAUUUUUAAAUCACUUAGGCGUAUCUCAAAUGUUAAAAUUCCCAUCUAAGGCAGUCUUUCAUGAUUAUUGUCCAAUCAUGAUUUUCAAACCAUUGAUUUCUAGCAGUCACAAUUUUCUACAGCACUCAAGAAUUCAUGAUCAAUCUACCUAAAUCCUGGGAUGUUGAUGUACACCGACCGUGCUGCCUGCAUCAAAUGCUCAGUUUGCUCUCUCUGCAGCUCAAAGAUCCUUCUUCCUUCUUCAUAGUUGCUGCCAAAUGCUGUACGAGAAAUUGCAUCGCUGGAAAGAGCUUGAAGAUUGGGCCAAACAUCAACUUCAGCCAACCCCUUUGGUGAAACAACAUUCUCCCAUUUCGUCACCAUCUCACUUGCACUUUUAUAAAAGGCUGGGAGCAUAAGCUGUUUAUCCAUAAAAGAAAAGAAAAUCAGUGAAAGAAACUACUCCAUACUGAAGGCUACUUAGUAAAUAAAUGAUGCAAUUUACUAAGGACUGUCCAAUACAGAGAGUGUUUUCAAUUUUAGGAUAUCAUAAAUGUGUGUGUGUGAAUUUAUAUGAUAAUUUUACUAUAAUUUACUCGCACUAAAGAGUAUUUAUAGGUCAUCCGUUCAAAAAAAAAGAUUAAUCUUUUCUACACUGUUAGUGUAUACACAGAUGGAGUUAGAUGAAUACCACAUCAUAUGAAUUUGAAACGCCAUAAAAUGAUUAAAUUACAGAGAAGAGAACCUUCAAUUUCUCAACGUGGAAAGCUGGGUUGAGGAGCUUUCUCUGUUUGGCCCAUUUUUCUCCCUCAUAUCUGCCGAGUGGAUUAACACGGAGCUUCCGGAAAACAUCAACCUUUUGUGUAACGGCCUUUAUUAGAUUAGGGUCCAUGAUCACCACGACAGGUCUCGGCCCAAACCAUAAAUAUGUAGGAUUAGGGGCCCAAAACUGGAAAGUAUAAAUAGUUAAAUGCCUUCCACUAGGAAAGGAUAAUAAAAUCAAGUGUUUCAAAAAAUAAAAAUAAAAAUAAAAAUACAAGGCCAAAAUAUUAAAAUAAUUCAAAUUCUACAAAACUUUUUUUUCCUUUUUUUGCAUCAAUCAACCUAAUAAACUAUUUAAAGUGAUUCAAUCAGCUUAUUUCCAUCACAUUCCAUCAAAAUCUUCGAUUAAGUUAACUGGAAAUCUAUUCAGAAUGUCAAGUACGAGCAAUUGUCAGGGAUAAAAUUGACAUUUCUUCUCAUUUCAAUCUUCAUUGUCAAAUGACAUGCAUAAUUACUGAUAAUCAAUUAAUUAUUAGGAUGUCCAUAUUCUAGUAGGACGAAAUAAUAAAUAUCAGCUCUAUUGAGACCCUUUAUGACAAUUCUAAGUUGUAAAACAAUAACAAACGGAAAAAAAAUACGAAAAGACCAAGAAAAACGACUAUCCUAAAAUACAAAAGCUGAAAGGGAAAUCACAUACCCUAAUACUAUAAUAUUACUACUUUUUUUUUCCUUUCGUAUUUAAGUACGAAAUACAUCAGCCUGAAAAAUCAAUUGUCCGUGCAGGUUGGAGACAUUGUAUCUUAUUCUCUAUUUUCCUUUUUUUUAAUAUCAUAAUCACUAUCUUUCAACACCGAAAAAGAAAAAGAAUAAAAGAAAAGGAGGCAAAUGAUAUUCUAUUUAACCAAAAGGAGAGAAAAGUAAAAAAAAAAUGGAGAUCAUAUGAGGGACGAAAGAGGUUACGAGGCAAAGAGAAGGAAGCAGGGUUGACAAGAACAAUAAAUACUACCAUAUUUCUUAACGGCUCCAAGAUAUUGAGGAAUAACUCUUGGUACGAUGCUUGGAUUGGGCUUCUGUGUACAGGGUCGACAUCUCUUUGAAGUCUCCAUGGAGCAGCUUGUAAGGGUUUCCCCGGAAACCUUGCUCUUUCAGACGUUUCUCCAGCUUCUUCGGCCUAAACCAUACCCAGUUCAAAGCUUUCCAUGAUACUGCUACUACCAGAAGAAGAAGAAGACAAGAAGAAUACACAGUAAACAUUGAGACAUAGGUGGUUUCCAUGUUGUGUUUUUGUUUUGUUGGUUUUCUUGUGAGAUUUCUACCUUUGUUGUGUGCAUAUUUAUAAUAAUGCAAGCACAUAAAUCUUAAUAAGCAAAUUACCAUCCAAACAAACAUAGAAACUAGAUGACCUAUGCCAUGACGAUGGCAGAUAAUCUUUCUCCAGGAAAAAUCCAAGCUUUGUUUUCUUUCCAGGUAUGUUAAAUUUAUCCUUAAAUAUAUUGAUAGGUUGAAAUUUUAUCAUUUAUUGUAGGGGUGGGCAAAAAAAUCCGAAAAUCCGAAAAACCGAGAGAUCCGAUCCGAUCCGCACCGAAAAAUCGGAUACCUGAUCCGAUUUCAAUCAGCGGAUCAAAUAGGGUCGGGUACCCUAAAUAUUCGGAUACGGAUACGGAUCGUGAAAGUGAAAACCCACGGGUACUCGACCCGGAGGUAUAAUAUAUAAAUAUUAAAAAUAUAGGGGUAAUUGUAUAAUAUUUUAAGUUAUUAACCCUAAGUUCCUAAGCUAAAUCAAUCCAUCGGUCAUCCAUUCAGAGUUUAGCCUCAGCUUCAGCCGACACUCUUCUGUCUUCACUCAUUUCAUUUUCUUCUUCUGCUUCCCGACCUCCUUUCUCCAUCUCUUCAAUUUUGUCAAGUUGAACUCAAGCCUGCAAGCCUCAGCCCUCAAGUAGAUGAUUCAACAGAGUGUUUCGAUUUCGAUUUCUCAAGCCUCAAGCAGAAGCUGUAAAACGCCGACCUUCUUUAUCUGCAGGUUUGGACCUUCUUUAAUUGAUGGCUAUCCAGCUCCUUCAGGUGAUGGUGUAUAUUACGUGUAGGUUUGGACCUUAUUAAAAUUUUGGUUGGAGUGAUUACAGUACACUACUCCUUGCUCGAUGCUAGGAGGUAGGAAAUUGUUGUUACAAUUAGGGGUGGCAAUUUUCGACACGACCUGAAAACACGACACGAACCUAACAUGAAAUUAAUGGGUUUGGGUUGAGGUUUUGGGAAUUCGGGUCAGAAUCGGGUUGGACCCGAGGAACCCGAAAAGAAAACAGGUCGAUUUCGGGUCAACCCGUGGUGACCUGAUAUGACCCGAUAUGACCCGUUUACGAAUUAAAAAUAAUUUAAUAAAUAUAAAAAUAAUUUUAUCUAACUAACCUAAGUUAUUCUUUUUUUCAAAGGCAUUAAUUACUUAAUCAUAAAUGAAUUUAUUUAAGUUGUAUGAAGUUGAAAUUAUUAUAUUUGGACAAAUAAUAUAUUAUAUUAUUUUUUACUUUUAUACUGUUUUAAUUUAUUUUAUAUUUUGUUUGGGAUAAAACACUUUUACGGUGUUUAAUUUAUUUUAGAUUUGGUUUGGAAUUACUUAUUUAAAUUUUUAUUACUUGAUUAUGUAAUUAGUUUUGUGAGAAAUUGAUUUUAUUAGAAAUUACAGUGAUAAAUUAAUAAAUUAAAAUUAAGUUUCGGGUCAUUUCGGGUCGACCCGCCAACCCGUCAACCUGAAAUUUUCGGGUUCGGGUCAGCAUACCUGACCCGUCACUGGUUGGCGGGUCGGGUUCGGGUCAACAGAUUUUCUGACGGGUUGACCCGAACCCGACCCGCCAACCUGAUUUGGACCCGAAUUGCCACCCCUAGUUACAAUACCUCUUUUGGUGGCUUUCUAUAUUCUUGGCACUUCCACUUCUUGUGUUAAUACUGCUUUGACACAAUACCUCUGUUUAGGUCCCUGUUAUGUGUUUGGCAAUUCUCCAGCUCCACUCUGUUCCUUACACAAUCAAUCUGUUUUGUUAAUCAUUUUGGUUACGCACUUCAGGCAGUUGCUUUUGGUUUUUGAUAGGGUACUCCGUGACUCUGGCCUUCCUACUUAAUACUACUGUGCCAUAAUACAGAGUGGUCAGGGGUUGAAGUACCAUUCCCUAAUGAUGCAAUUAUCUUUUCUUUAAUUUGUUUGUGUUUACUUUUAAUAGCUAUCCAGUGAUUGCAAAAUGCAAAACAUACUACAGAUAUGUAUGCGUAUCAAACCCAAACGAGCUAGUAUAUAACCAGAGAAUGAAUAAUGUUUUCCUAUUGGAAUUGUGGAAUUGGUUUAAAGCAAUUUAUAGAUUGAAAAUUGGGGCGGGUACCCUAUGACCCGCCCCUAUUUUUCGGGUAUCCGAGGAUCGGGUACCCGAGGGAGAUCGGAGCGGAUUAGGGUCAAAAAAAUAGUGACCCGACAUGUUAGGGUUGGGUCAGCCAAUUACCGUUCGGGCCGGGUACCCGACCCGUGUCCACCCCUAAUUUAUUGUAUUAUUAAUUUCCCCCUAUUAUCUGACACGAUGUGAAUUAAUUGUUAGAUUCAACUCACUUUUGAUAUUUUAUAUUUAUUUCAGAAAGUAAAACGAAAAUACCAUAAUAAGCGCCAGUUCGACAGUCAUCAUAAAAAAAGAGUUCAACCCCAGGAGCAUUUUUGGAAAAGGGAAAGUUUUUCCCCUUUUGAUACCUGCCGAAGAUGUAGGAGGCGAAAAAACAAGCUGGACUCUCAUCUUUUUCUUCCUAGGGGUAGCCGCAAAGUAGCAGUAGUAUUUUAGAUAGGAAAUAGGAUGCAGAGAAGGAGCACAACGGAAACUUAGCCUUUGACUUUUCUUUUCGUCUUUAGCUGCUUUUCUUUUUUCCGUAGGAGUAGACAAGUUGAAGACCAAAAACAAACCAAUGAAUCAACCUCUGUAGCUUGGGUUUUUCAUCCUUAUUCUACCGCAAUUGAAUUUACUCAAUCAAGACGGUGUCGUGAAUAUUUACUUCUGAACUCUCGCGUGGGUCUUUUGCAUUGGGAAUGAACUAAAUUCCCUUUUCUAGUUAAAAAAUAAUGGAUAUUUUGAGUCGCCUAAAAUUAUGAGAUCGAUUUAAUUUUAUCUUUUCUCGUAUUUAUUGGUAUUUACAUAUUCUCCGAUUGCAGUGCUUAUGGUUAUUUAAUUAAUUGAUUAUCUUGGAUCCGGAUAGUGGAUUGAUUUAGUAACCUAUUGUCAAUUAGGGUAUUAAUUCCGUAAUUGUUUAAUUGCCUUGAAAUAGUAACAACUGGCAUGAUUGGAUUUGUGUCAGGAGAAUACGUGGGUUAAUCUAAAAUAACCCUGGUAAUGCGUCAUUCGAUUAGAAUAGGGAUCAUCUAUUACGUAAGACAAUUGGGGAAUUAAAUCUUAUGGGCGUAUUUAGGAUUAUUUCUCAAUUAGAGCAGUGAUUAACGGGCGUACCUUAAUCACCGACACAGUAAGGAGAGGUUGACUAUCAUUGCUUGUUUGGCAGUUAUAACCUAUUUAUUAGUAAAUAAUUGGAAUUGCUUGUGUAACGAUGAUCAAUUAGGUGAACCAUUGCUGAAAUUAUUUCUUGGCUAGACCUUUAAUUAUUAUUACCUUAAUUUUAGUGAAUUGUCAUUUAAUUUUUAGUUGACUAUUUUAUUUUUAGUUGAGUUGCUUUAAUUACCAUACUUUAUACAAAAACAUCCCUCGUGUUACUUUGGAUUUCAAAAGAGAUAAAUAUCCCCAGUCCCUGAGGAUAAUACCCUACUUGUCCUAUUUACAAUUAAUAAUUAUUUGUGAAAAAGUCAUCCCAUUCGGAUAUAUCGGAUCAAGUAAACUCUUCGGGAACAGGGUGAAUCAAGUAACCUAUUGCACACCUAGAGUCCCUGCUCCAGUACUUGAAAUCGAGUUUUGGUUACUUUAAUUGACAAUUAGAUUUAUUUUUCUUAUUGUACAGGCAUCGACAACCUGUCAUAUAUCUAAGCCCUUUAUGUUUUGAGCACUUUAAUCCAAACUGUAUUUUCAUCCUGUCGUGGGAGCUCAGCUAAAAUAUGAUAUUUGUGAGGUGAAAAAUAAGUUAAUAAAUUAAAACCAGAAUUCAUAAAGUCAAUUAGGUCGGUCAACGGGCCGGAUUCGAGUCGAAAUUAAUAAAUCUGGACUCGAACCCGAACCCGUCAUACUAUAUUAGUUCCGGAUCCGACCCAAAUAUCUGACGGGUCUCCUAAUCUUUCCCCCGGAUCCGGGUCAGGCCUACUUGAAAAAAGACCCGUCAAAAGCCAUUUUUUGCUACAACUUCAGAACCUGCAAAUGUAGUCUGAUUUUUAUAACAUUUUGUACAUAUUUAGGGAGGACUUGGUGGCACACAAGCCUUUGCGAAAUCAGGGGAGUUAGUUAAUUUGCUGAAGAAGCAGAAUCCAAACUUUUCUUGCCGAAAAAUACAAAUGAAAGAUGUUUUGCAGUAAAUUACAAAGUUAUUCAAAGCCAAUCACAAACUUAAAUCACAAAUUACAAAUCUAAAUCACAAACCACCCACAUGAGUAUCCCCUGCCAUUUUUUUUUUGCAAUGCUUACAUAUGGCAACAAUACCAGUAGCAGUCCUAACUCUAUCCAUAUCAAACCAUACUUUAGAUGUUAAUUUCUUUCCCUGGGUUUCUUACAUGAAUCAUCUUCCUUCACAUUCUCCUCUUCCGAAUCCAAAAUGGCAACCUCAUUCUCAUCAGCUGUGCUACUUGGUCCUGUUGGAUUACUUGGCAAAGAUGACACCCUGUAAUUAGUGAAUAACAGAAUUUAUUAGAUAAACAUGGUACAAGUUUAAAGGCUUUUUCAGAAUUUACCAAAUACUGCUGUGGAUAUGUGGUGCCUCUCAAGUUGAGAGUCUCAACAGUCCAACUAAUACAUGGAGUUUAUUUGAACACCUCGUGUGGCUGAAGCCCAAUUAAGUUGGGUUUUUUUUCUUUUGAAAACAAAUUAAGUUGGUUAAAAGCAUAAUUAGUAUGGAUCAAGCAUUUGUUGUCGACCAGACCUGUUUAUCUUAUUUGUUUUUGUAAAAAUGAGUCGAUAAUAGGAAGAGUAUUUUUGGAUUAAAAGUUUAUGAUCAAAUCCAAAAAUACUAAUAAUAAUAACAGGAAGAAAGACGUAGAAUUAUUUAAAAAAUUUUCAAUUAGCCUACGAGUCAAGUGUCCUGAUUCAUGCAAAAAGUUCAUCACAUCCAAACUGUGACUAAAAAAAAAAAUUUGUACCCCACAAGAUCGUUUUGGCCAUUUUUCUCCCAAUGAAAAUGGAAUUAAAAAGAAAGAAAAAUUAAGUAAAUCCUACAGUCUGGAACCAAGAUACCAAGUAUCUUCCACUUAUAAGAAUAAUAGCUAAUCACAGACACCAAGUUGUCUUAAAAUUUUCCCUCAAUUCGUCCAUUUGUUCCCAGGAAUUCAUGAAUUGUGAAGGAGAAUCAAAACCCAUCACUGAAGUUUCAAUAUUUAGCACAAUUUAGUAGACACAAAUAACAAACUGCUACUCAUAUUCACGGUCCUUAAAUUGCAAAGUAGCUGCUGUCUUUGACCAAACUUAUAAACAAACUUUUUGACCGUUUUCGACAAAGACAAAAUACCAGAAUGGAGGCUUUCACCUCACCAUGAUUUUUACAAAUUCUUACGGUAUUGAAAAAAAAAAAAAAUCUGUCACUAUAAGAAAGAGAGCUGGGUUGCUAGAAGCUUGGAAAAGCUGGGCUUCUUUGGAGUUGCAACCGUCAAGCGUCAGAGAUGAAGAGAGCGUCGCCGGUUUCACGGCGGACUAGCGGAGGUAGAGCAAAAAAGAAAAGAGAAAAGAGAGUAAGAGGGAAUAAGGGAUGUGCGGCGGCGGGGUAUUAGGGUUGGAAAAAUUUGGGAAUGAAAGAAGUAGUAAUGUAGUAUUGAUAUGAUAGAUUGGUAUAUAUUUUUUAAUUAUUAAUUAAUUAAAACGAGUUCGGGUCGGAUAGGGGUUGGAAUAUAUAUCCCGUAUCCGACCCGCUUUUUGUUAGAUAAAAUGGAUCCGAAUUCGGGUCCGGAUCACGAAUCUAUAUACCUAUUCAUAACUGGAAAAUGUUGGUGGGUCUCGGGUCCAGACCAUUGACAGUCCUAAAGUCAACAUACAAGAUGGGAUAAAUUAUGAUAAAUUACUAUACGAGUCCAUUGUUCUAAAAUUUUAUCACACAAUCCCUCUAUUAUUCCACAAUAUCCAAUUGAUGCCCCGUGACUUUGUGUAAAAUUCAUAUUAGCCGAAAAGCAAGACCUAAUAAAUUACAAAGGAAUGUGCAUAGUUGUUUUAAAUUUGAAUAGCUCAUUAGUCGUCUCAAUGGUUUAUUAUUCUUAUUUUCUAAAAUAAAUUUGAAGACUAAAACUUUUAAGGAGAGUUAGAUGUCUUUAAAUGGAAAGUACGUGUAGAAAGAUAAAAAGGAGUAUUGGAGUACUUGCAAAUGGCAACAAAAUAGGGAACAAAUCAAAAUGAAUUGUUAUUCAAGAAUCAUAGAGAGUUCCAAAAACAAAUUUUUUUUUGAGAGCAAGCAAAUUAAUUAAGUUGUUACAUGGUAGUCCUUUUUAAGUAUAGAGCAAAACUAUGGCCCUUUGAGUGGAGUGGUUUUUACCAAUUUGGCUAAGCUUUGCAAUUGCUAUGCUCAAUUUUGUUGUCGAUUUCAUGUGACUAUUUAAAAUUGGCAUGCCAUAAAGGCCGAAGAGUGGGAAUUGCUAUAUUAAAAUUUUAUAGUUUCGAUUAAACUUCGUAUUACCGUCUCAAAGUAGAGAAAAUGAGCAUAUCACUAACAGCAAAAUGAGGUUAACAUAUGCAUUUCAUUUUUUUUCCUAACAGGGGAGGUAUGGGGGUUUAAGAAGUAGCGAGGGAAAAAGGGAGAUUAUAACCUAAAAACUCUAUAUUUAGGGUCUCAACCUUCAAAUUUAGUCACUAAGCCAAUGUCUUCUCGACGCAUAUUCAUUUCAUUUGAUGAUUCUAAGUGGCCUUGCAGUGGAUAGUUAAUCAGAGCUGGACUAUGACCUUAACCCUCAUUUGGAAAAAAAUUUAGCUUUAAUUAUUUAAUGUAUUCAAAAUUGCAUUCAAGGCUGCAAUCAAAUUGACAUCACAAUUCGAUCUAGGUUACGGUGCAGCCAUUGCCAGUUGAAUCAUAGGCAUAUUUUGUAUUUACGAUCUCGAUUGUUAUGAAAAAGAAGUCAGAAUCGGCUUUGAAAUCCAUUCUUAAUUGUUUCUAGCAGAAAAAAGAAGAAUGAGAAAAUAUUUUGGACCCACAUUAGAGCACAUCUAUGUCGAGUAACUACAUAGUAUUGCUAGCCAAGAAAAAUAAAAUGAAGAUUUAAAACGCCACGUUAACUGCCUUGUCUUUUAUUUCCCCACUAUUUUGUUAUCUUAAAUUGAUAUUACAACAAUCAUUAUAACAUUUUAAACGAUAAUAACAAUAUAUAUAUAUAUAGGUAAUCAUAUUUUUCACACAUUUCCUCAGAGUUGGAUUAUGCAACGGUCAAACCACAAUAUUCUAAAAGUUUUGGUCUUAAAAGUCAUUCUUCUUUUAUUUGACUAAUUCUUCCUGCCGGCCUACUUUUCUUCCGCCUAAAAUUGCUCCCCACUUGUUCGUAUUCUUCUUAUGUUCUAUUCCGCGACCUUUUCCAUUUCCUACAUUGUUAAGCCGUGGAACGAAUUGCGAGCCUGCAAUGUUCAAAAUAUCAAUCUUCAAAUAACUUCAUAGCAAAUUAAACAAAGAUUGAUAACAAGAUUUCUUGUUUUACAGUUUCUUCAAGAUCAAAUGAGCUCCAUACUGGGGUUGAAGAGUGAGCACAACUUGAGGAGCAUGUGCAUAACUCGGCGAAAGCUCCCAAGAAAAGCGCCGUAAGAUCAAAGCCAGCGCCAUCUUUGCUUCCAGCAUAGCAAAAUUUUGCCCCAUGCAAGUUCGAGGUCCCCAACCAAAUGGAAAGAGCGAGAGAUUGCCUUUUGUAGCCUUUGAAACUCCCUCACUGAAUCUUUCUGGAUUAAAUUCCUUCGCAUCAUCACCCCACAAGUCUUUGUCCUGCUGCAGCAAGACUCGGGCCACAAAGAUGAACAUUCCUUCUGGCAGUGACAGUUCGCCUAAUUUAGUUUCUUCGGGAAUCAUUCGAAAAAGCAUCGCUGCCGGUGGAUAUAGCCUUAGAACCUCGUUAAGGAUCAUAGUAACCUUCGAAAAAUAAACGUAAACAGAACAAUGAUUAGUGGUGAUUGGAUCAACUAUCAAAAAAGUGCUAAGAUGGGAACAUAAUUUUGCAAGUUAUACUUACAAUUUUGAGGUGAUUUAAUUUACUAAUAUCAGGUUCAUUGUUGUCAAAAACCUGUAGAACCUCAUCUCUGGCACGAGCCUGCCAAUCAAAAUGUUGACUCAAUAAAAUUAAUGUCCAGGCGAGCAAUCCUGAGGUUGUCUCUUGUCCAGCCAAAUAGAAUAGCUUGCACUCCUCAAUGACUUCUUCAAGGCUCAUGCAGUUCUUAUUUCCAUGUUGUCGGAUCUCAUUAAAAUUGGAUUCCAAUAAAAUACGCAACAAGUCAUCACUUGUAGCUUCACCUGUUUGAAUUUCCUUCAGCCUUUCGUUGAUAUUGCCCAUAACUAAUGAGUUUACUUCCUUGAAAAUCUUCUGCAUUCUUUUGUUUCUUUCUGUUGGCACAAAACUGAAUGCAAAAUAGCAAUAACCAAAUAAGCUAAAUGAUACAAUUACAAACUAGAAAUUGAAAGACAGUACCGUACCUCCACCCUGGAAGGCAAAUGGAUUGCAUAACUUGCUCAAUAUACAAAGCCUGUUCUCUUUGGAGUUCAAAGAUCCUUCGCCCUUUUUCAUGGUUGCUACCAAAAGCUGUUCUUGAAAUUACAUCACCAGUAAAUGUUUGAAGAUAAGGCCACACAUCUAAUUCAAAAGAUCCUUCUGCGGGGGCAAGGUUCUCCCAUUUGCUUAACAUCUCAUUACAACUCAGAUAAAAUGCUGGCACCAUGUACUAUAUGUGAAGAAUCAACAGCGCAAGUCUUCCAGCUUUUAUGUUCUUCAUUAAUCAAAAAGUAAGAAUGGAAAUAUUAUUCAGUGAAAUUUUAAAAUUGGAAAGGCUGCAUUUGGUUCUCUAUCCGGACUAGAUUGGAACCAUAACUACAUUUAUAUGAUGCAAUACCAAACACUAGCCAGUCCCAUGUCUGAUAAAUAACAAGAAACGGCCAAAAGCGUGUAAGAUAUUGAAACAGCACCAAAUUUCAGCAGAAAAAGCUAGAAACAACCUUCAAUUUCUCUACAUGAAAUGCAGGAUUCAAUAAUCUUCUGUGUUUGGCCCAUUUUUCUGUAUCCAGGCUAGCAAGUCCUAGUGCUAGAAGUUUACUGAAUGGAUUUGCCCGAGGCUUCUGAUAAGUAAAAUAUUUUGCGAAGACCUCCUUUACUUGUUCAGGAUCCAAGAUAACCAUUGCCGGCCUUGGUCCAAGCCAAAAAAAGCUAUUUUUACCUACAAAAUAAUUUUUGAUAAGCAACUUAUCCACUCUUUAAAAAAAAAGAUUGGGUCAACCCAUAUAUGAAAUGCAUGAUUGCCGAAAAACACAGCAAACCAAAUAGUCUUCGGGCAAAUUUGGAGAACAAACCUUUAUGUUGCAUUGUUUCAUUGAUGAAGGGCAUGAUUCUAGGCAAGAUAUCAUCUGUUAAAGAAAUUGGUUUGGACUUAGCCUCCUCAAGCAUCCUUCCCAUGUCUCUGGUGUCUCCAAACAAGAACCCGUAAGAGUUUCCCUGUAGACCUUGCCGCCUGAGGCGUUUCUCCAUCUUCUUUGGUGUGAUCCAAGCCCAAUUCAAGAAUCUCCAUGCCCCGAUGAGAAGAACUAUGACUGAUGAAGCUCCAAUCGAGCUAUAGAAAAAUUCCAUUUUCUCUGAUGCGCUUCCACUCCUUCAGUCAAACUUUCUGCUGGCAGGGGGAACUUGCUAAGCGGUUAGUUAUUAAGGACGGAGAACCUCAACUUUGGGACACAUCAUUCUGAAAUCUAUGCAUAUCCAUCUGUAAAAUCGGUAAAGACAAAGUAGCUAUAAGUCAUAAUUUGUGCUAAAUUUAUAAUUAUUUUUUCCUUUGAUUUUAAUCAAAUAUUAUUUUAAUUGAUAUAUUCUACUAAUAUUUGGUAUUUGGGAUUAAUUGCAGGAAGUGGUGAAGAAAAAGUACCGAAAAUCGUCAUUCCAGCAGAUUUCCUAUAGUUUGGCGUGCCCACGCCUAACUCCAGCUUUGACGGAUUUUCGGGAUGAUUUGCACACGCGAAAGCUUCCAAAACUAAAUAAAGCAGCGGACUACAAUGCUGAAAAGCAGUGGGGCCAUUUCAAAAGCUGAAGAAAGCUAUCUAUAAUAGGAUUCCUAUUGUUUAGGAAAAUCGGUACAUUUUGAAGGAGAGAAAUCAGGAUGGGAAUCUGUUUGUUCUCUCGGUGGGCCUGGCCUAAAAGGAAAUGGAUUUCCUUCAUCCCUUUGAGUGGCUAAAAACGUAGAGGAUUAGGAGACUUAGGGAGGCUUGUCUUUAAAUUUGUUUUUACUUGGAAAAGCUGGGGGGAAGGUACGGAGGUCGGGGACUUUUCCUCGUAGCCGACUUUUACUUUUCUUCCUUGGCCGAUUUGGCCAGGAACAAUUUGGUAAGAUUCAGAUAGCUUUUUCGCAUGGUUGUUCUCCGUUAAUGGAGAACUAACCUUCUAAUUCUAGUCAAAGGACAACUGAAGAUUUGGUUCUGUAAUUACUAUGAGAUCGAAUUUAUUUUAAUCGCUUUCUCAUUUAUUGGUAUUUAUAUGAUUCCUGUUUUUAAUUGUUAUAACUCUUGUGUAUGAUUGAUUAGUGCGCAAUAAUUAAUUAUUCAUAUAGGUUAUUUUGCUAAAUAGGGGUAAUUGAAUCCGUAAUUGUUCGUUACCUCUAUCCCAGUAGCAAUUGGCGUAAUUGGGUUUAUGUCAGGGAAACAUACGAUCUAAUUUAAACAAAUCCUCUUAGCGUGUUUGUAGGUUAGGAUUGGGCCUUUCUAAUUUUUAAUGCAAUCUAGAAAUUAAAUCCUACGGUCGUACCUAGGAUUGUUUUUGGGUUAGGGAAAUAGUUAACGGUCGUACCUUAGCUAUCGAUAAAUUAAGGAAGGGUUGGUUGUUUAUCGCGUGCAUGACAACUAUAACCAAUCUAUUAAUAAAUGUGGAAUUAUCUGCGAAUCGAUGAUCAGUGCAUGAACCAUUUCUGAAGUGUACCCUUGACUAGAGUUUCUUUUACUUAUUUCUCUUAAUCAAUUAUUUUCUGCAGUUAAUUUAUUUAGUUAGUAUUUGAUCCAAAAACCCCCAUACUUUGGACUCUAGAAGAAACGAAUUAUUCCCAGUCCCUGUGGAUUCGACCCUACUCACCGCUAUAUACAAAAUCUGUAUUUUUCUCGAGUAGGUUUUUAUUAUUGCACAGGUUCGGCACCUGUCAGUAGCUUGAAGGUAUGUUCUAUGUUUACGGCAUCUGCAUAAAUGGAGAUGCUCUGCGACUUCAACACUCACCUAUAAAGGACAUUUGAGCCCUUAAUAUUCUUGUUUAUGGUAAAAUGAUUUUUCUACUCGUUCACUUAAAUUACGCUUAAUUUACUAUAUGAACACACAUAAUACAAUUAUUAUAUCCUCUGUAUUUAAACGCUUUCCUAGUAACUACACUUUUUUUUUAAAAGAAAAAUUAGCACUCUUGAGGCCCCCCUAACAGAGGUGACGAUAAAGGAGAACAAAUCAACAUAGCUCGAUUAUCCUGCAAGCCUCGCAAAUCAUCAUCAGAAGUCUUUUUCUAUCUGCCUUCUAGAAGAGAGUCAGUUCAAUAAACAAAGUGCCCUAAUGUAAUAGAUGCAGAUUAGGAGUAUCAAAGUCUUUUUCAUUUAAAAAUAGCAAGAGAAAUUCAAGGGUUUGCAAAUUAGCUAAACAAAGUGCUGCAAAUUGAUAGCACAAGGUACAGAGGUCCUAAAACUGAUAAUUGAAGAUAGUUUAGGGGAAAAUGUUGCAAUAAGCUUUGGAUGUAAUUUUAAAUACUUGAGCAUGAGAAGGUCGCAUGUUACAGUCUUGACUCUCAAUGGUUUGGAAACAAAAAGAUCAAUGUGAAAUUUGUUUUUGAUCAACUGCAUCCUCUAAUGCGGUUCAUUAAUAAACAUAAUAAGAAAUCCCAGAACAUUAACAUUUGUCCUUUUUAACCUAUUAACAUUAAUACUUUGCAAAAUAGCAAUAACUCCAAAAUCUUCUUGUAAUUGCACCAAAAGUUUGUUAAACCUUACAGAAGCAGCAACCUAAAAGGCUAGCAAGAUAAGCAACAUGUAGCAAUUACAGAAGUUCAGUCACAUAAUCAAUAACACACAGACAUAGUUCAAGUCCUGGAUUCAGAUAACAGUUUUAUAUUACAGUUUCUUCAUAAUCAACUGAGCACCAUACUGAGGUUGAAGCAGGGUACGAAACAAGUAUGGGGCAUGCGUAUACAAUGGAGAAAGCUCAAAGGAAAAGCGCUGUAAAAUUAGAGCUAAUGCCAUAUUUGCUUCAAGCAGAGCAAAGUUUUGCCCAAUGCAUAUCCGAGGUCCCCCACCAAAUGGCAGAAAACACUGCUGGCCCUUAGUAGCCUUUGCAACUCCCUCGCUAAAUCUCUCCGGGUUGAAUUCCUUUGCAUCAUCACCCCAUAAACUUGGAUCAUGAUGUAGCAAGAUUGAAGGCAUCAAGACAAUCAUUCCAGCAGGUGGAGAUAGUUCCCCUAAUUUAGUGUCUUGGUUAACCCUCCGGGAAAUCAUAACUCCUGGUGUAUAUAGUCUUGGAACCUCAUUAAGGAUCAUAGUCACCUGUAAAAGAAGAAUUACAAACCGAUGCUUAAAUGGAGUGUGAACUUCGUUCCAAGAGAAGAAAAUUGUAAGAUAAGUAUCCAGACAAUGUCAACUAAUAGCUGGUCCCUACUAGAAAGCAGAAACAUUACACUACACUCGGAUAUCGUUGUGCUUCAGGUAAUGGCAAAAGUAAAACGUGUCCUGAGUGAAUGGAAUGUUAAGCUAUGAUAUUCCUUAUGAAGUCUUCUGCAUCCGAACCCACGAAACUAAUUAUUCAUCAAAAGAGAACCUAAAAAACAAGUCUGAAAUGUGGCCAACAUUCAUGAUAUUCGAGUUUAGUCACUGCAGAUUGGUGAUACAAAACUGAAAUUCUUGAAUAAUAUCAAACUAUUCUGUCAUCAGAGCUUAUCCUCUUGAUAAAUUGAAGCUACUUACAAUUUUCAGCCAAUUUAAAUCUUCAAAAUCCGGUAUAUUGUUGCCAAAGACCUGAAGAACCCAUCCCUAGCACGAGCUUGCCAGUCUGAAUGCUUGCUCAACAAAAUUAGCGUCCACACAAGCAGGAUUGCAGUUGUCUCAUGUCCAGCAAAAAAGAAUAGCUUGCACUCCUGAAUGACCUCUUCAGAAGUCAGUCCAAACCUUUCAUUCCCAUGUUCUUGGAUCUCCUUGAAGUUGGGUUCUAGAAGUAAACCCAACAAGUCACUAUGAAAAUUUUCUUCAUAUUUUUUGUUUCUUUUACGGAAUAUCUAGUAAUGUGAUAGGACGAUUUUCUGCAGCAAAUCAGCCUUGGAUUGAUCUCUUUAUAGAUUAAGAGAUGUCACAUGUUGGUUAUAAUCAUCCAAGUGAUGACCUCUCAUUACUAAAGGAGUUACUUCUAUUCUAAUAGUACUUUAAUGAUUAAUUGUAGUACUUCACACUUGAAUGAACAGCCACAAAUUUUGUUAUUUUGUGAACCUUGAGACCUUUCAUCUUUUGAAAAUCUCCAACAAAUUCAUGGUGAUUAAAAAUUUUGCAAAUAAAGUCAACUCAACUGAGAUAAUUAGAUUCUCUGUAGUUUAAUUUCUUCAACAAAUGUUUGACCAGGAAGAAAAAAUGGUGAGUAUAGCCUUAAAACCUCAUGCAAGAUCAUUGUGAUAUGUGAGAAAUGGAAGGAGACUACUUAAGACAAUUUAUUGGCAUAUGAGAAGCUGCAACCUAUCAUGAGUUGACUUAUAUCUUUUAGGUUAAAAGUUCUUUUACGUACAAUAUGCCAUGGAUUUUGGUAUAUAAUUGACUGAAAAUCUUUUAGGUUAUACAGACCAUCAAAUUGUGAUAUUUUUGGUCCCAGCAAUGUGUUGCAAAAUCUAUUCUCUAGCACGUUCUUGCUAGUCUGGGCAGAUGCUGAAUACAACAGCUUACACUCUUCAAUAAUUUCUCUUGUAAUCGCACAGAAUUUCGUCUUGUCUAAGCUGCAUUGGAGAUCCACUUACCACGAAGAAAUAUUUUUGAAUACUAGCUAAUAAGAUUUACAGACUACUGAUUAAUGUUUGAGAACAGCUGUUAAAUGAUUUUAAGCCAUGACAAGCCAUUUGUUUUCUCCAUUAUCAAAGAAAAAGGAAAGAUCUCUUGCAAAAUUAAACAAGCAGAUGUAAUAUUUCUCUCUUAAUUUGCCGUGAGAAAUACAUUACGUGAAUCUGUACUGCUAUAUUCAUACAGAUCCAUUGACAUACCGAACUGGGCGGGACUUAAACUAGUUUACAAGCAAAGUUAAGCAUAGAAGAUGGUGCUUUAUUUCGUUAAAAGAUAAUCUGCUGCCACAUACCGGGCUAGCAAGUCAAGUCAUAUAUAUGAAACAACAAAAACUAUAUUAUCUUCUGCAAAAUCAAGUGAGCUCCAUACUGGGGUUGAACUACUGCUGUAGCUCUUCCAGGAGCAUGAGUAUAAGAUGGUGAGAGUUCAAAGGAGAAGCGAUGCAGAAUCAUAGACAUUGCCAAUUUUGCUUCCAACAUGGCAAAAUUUUGUCCAAUGCAAAUGCGAGGUCCCCAGCCAAAUGGAAAGUAUGCAACCUGGCCCUUUGUUGCAUGUGAUACUCCUUCAGCAAACCUCUCAGGCUUGAAUUCUUUCACGUCCUCGCCCCAUAUAUCAGGGUCAUGAUGCAUCAGCAUUAUUGGCAACGUGAUUUGCACUCCAGCCGGGAGAGUUAAAUUUCCUAAUUUAGUUUCUUGAGUAGUUCCUCGACUCAUUAUAGGCACUGGUGGAUACAACCUUAAAACCUCAUGCAAGAUCAUGGUGACCUAUGAGAAGGGGACCAAAAAAAAAAUGUGAGCGUAAUUGGGAUGUCUAUGUAGAUGAGAAGCUUCGAUGAACUUCGUUAGUAUGUCUCUCCUGCCAUUAGUGCAAUUUUCAAAUCAAUGAAAUGAUCAUUGCUAAUUUUAUGUUUUUCAAAGAAAAAGAUUGGCUUACAAUUUUGAGGUGAUUUAACCCCUCAAAGUCCGGAUCCUUAGUUCCAAAUUGUUGCAGGACCUCCUCUCUAGCACGUGCCUGCCAUUCGGGGUACCUGCAGAGUAAGACCAUUGUCCAAACGAGUAGCCCUGAAGUAGUCUCCUGGCCAGCCAAAUAGAACAGCUUGCACUCAUCAACAAUUUCUUCGGUAGUCAUACCAAAGUCCUUGUUUCCAUGCUUCUCGAUUUCUUGAGAAUUGGAUUGAAGCAUUAAUCCCAACAAGUCAUCAGAGCCGGCUUCUCCUGCUCUCAUUGCCUUUCUUCUUGUGUUGAUCAUUUCCCUUACUGAACCAUUAACUUCUCUGGUAAUUUGUUUCAUUCUUCUGUUCCUCUUGGUUGGCAAGAACCUAACAAAGAUCAUAGUUUAGCCAAAAAAAAAAAAAGCAAGAACAAACUAUGUUUGCAGCAAUGUUUUUGGCUCCAUUUUUAAAUCACUUAGGCGCAUCUCAAAUGUUAAAAUGCCCAUCUAAGGCAGUCUUUCAUGAUUAUUGUCCAAUCAUGAUUUUCAAAGCAUUGAUUUCUAGGAGUCACAAUUUUCUACAGCGCUCAAGAAUUCAUGAUCAAUCUACCUAAAUCCUGGGAUGUUGAUGUACACCGACCGUGCUGCCUGCAUCAAAUGCUCAGUUUGCUCUCUCUGGAGCUCAAAGAUCCUUCUUCCUUCUUCAUAGUUGCUGCCAAAUGCUGUACGAGAAAUUGCAUCGCUGGUAAGAGCCUGAAGAUUGGGCCAAACAUCCACUUCAGCCAACCCCUUUGGUGAAAUAACAUUCUCCCAUUUCGUCACCAUCUCACUUGCACUUUUAUAGAAGGCUGGGAGCAUAAGCUGUUUAUCCAUAAAAUAAAAGAAAAUCAGUGAAAGAAACUACUCCACAUUGAAGGCUACUUAGUAAAUAAAUGAUGCAAUUUACCAAGGACUGUCCAAUGCAGAGAGUGUUUUCAAUUUUAGGAUAUAAUAAGUGUGUGUGUGUGAAUUUAUAUGAUAAUUUUACUAUAAUUUACUCGCACUAAUGAGUAUUUACAGGUCAUCCGUUCAAAAAAAAAAAGAUUAAUCUUUUCUACACUGUCAGUCAGUCAGUGUAUACACAGACGGAGUUGAAUGAAUACCACAUCAUAUGAAUUUGAAACCCCAUAAAAUGAUUAAAUUAGAGAGAAGAGAACCUUCAAUUUCUCAACGUGGAAAGCUGGGUUGAGGAGCUUUCUCUGUUUGGCCCAUUUUUCUCCCUCAUAGCUCACUAGUCCUAGAGCCAGUAAUCUGCCGAGUGGAUGAACACGGAGCUUCCGGAAAACAUCAACCUUUUGUGUAACUGCCUUUAUUAGAUUAGGGUCCAUGAUCACCACGGCAGGUCUCGGCCCAAACCAUAAAUAUGUAUUUUUACCUGGAAGUCAGAGCCGCUUGGAUUAGGAGCCCAAAACUGGAAAGUAUAAAUAGUUAAAUGCCUUCCACUAGGAAAGGAUAAUAAAAUCAAGUGUUUCAAAAAAUAAAAAUACAAGGCCAAAGUAUUAAAAUAAUUCAAGUUCUACAAAACUUUUUUUUUCUUUUUUUGCAUCAAUCAACCUAAUAAACUAUUUAAAGUGAUUCAAAAUCUUCGAUUAAGUUAACUGGAAAUCUAUUCAGAAUGUCAAGUACGAGCAAUUGUCAAGGAUAAAAUUGACAUUUCUUCUCAUCCACCUCCCUAAUCGACUAAAAUUCUUCAUUCUCAUCAAGUUAGCUCCCAAAACCUUGAGAAUUUGGUUUUAAACGAUUGGAAAAGAUGGAUGAGACAAAAUGUCAUUUUUGUUCCUGCCAAAUUGCACACAUCCAUUAGCUUGGCGGGAGAUGUUGACGGGAUGGACUGAUUGAAACUUUUGAGUACUAUAAUGGGUUAAUUGACUCAAAAAAAAAUGAAUGGUUUCUAUGAGAAUUUUUGUAGUUUGGGGGGUUAUAGUGCACUUUAUCGAAAAAAGAAUUGAAAAAAGAUUCACAAAGAUAGUAAAACAAACAAACCAAAAAUAGAAAUUAAAAGGAAACAAGAAAGGAAACUUGAAGUCUAAAGUUUAUUGGGAGCAUAGAUUUUUGUCGGAACUAAAAUAAUCCUCGUUUUGUUUAUUUGAUCAUUUGAUUGCUUAUUUAAUCUGAUCAUAAUUGAUUUCAAAUUCAAGAUUCAAUCUUCAUUGUCAAAUGACAUGCAUAAUUACUGAUAAUCAAUUAAUUAUUAGGAUGUCCAUAUUCUAGUAGGACGAAAUAAUAAAUAUCAGCUGUAUUGAGGCCCUUUAUGACAAUUCCAAGUUGUAAAACAAUAACAAACGGAAAAAAAAAUACAAAAAGACCAAGAAAAACGACCAUCCUAAAAUACAAAAGCUGAAAGGGAAAUCAUAUACCCUAAUACUAUAAUAUUACUCGUAUUUAAGCACGAAAUACAUCAGGAGGUAAAUGAUAUUCUAUCUAACCAAAAGCAGAAAAAAGGAAAAAAAAAAUGGAGAUCAUACGAGGGGCAAAAGAGGUUACGAGGCAAAGAGAUGGAAGCAGAGUUGACAAGAACAAUAAAUACUACCAUAUUUCUUAACGGCUCCAAGAUAUUGAGGAAUAACUCUUGGUACGAUGUCGUCGGAGAGAUUAAGAUUCUUGGAUUGGGCUUCUGUGUACAGGGUCGACAUCUCUUUGAAGUCUCCAUGGAGCAGCUUGUAAGGGUUUCCCCGGAAACCUUGCUCUUUCAGACGUUUCUCCAGCUUCUUCGGUCUAAACCAUACCCAGUUCAAAGCUUUCCAUGAUACUGCUACUACAAGAAGAAGAAGAAGAAGACAAGAAGAAUACACUGUAAACAUUGAUACAUAGGUGGCUUCCACGUGUUUUUUGUUUUGUUGGUUUUCUUGUGAGAUUUCUACCUUUGUUGUGUGCAUAUUUAUAUUCAAGUUGGGGCGAUGAUAACCUUGGUUUUGUGCGUCUGCACGGCUAUCCGUUUAUUACUUGAUUGACUCGGUACAAGUUUCUAUGUUACCAUGUGAUAAGAGAGUACAGGAGAAUUUGGAGCCUAUUUCUAUAUAUUUCGGAAUUUAGAGCGAAGUUUUUUUUUUUUUUUGGUGCAAUUGAGGACCUCCAAGCCAAUUUAAUUUAACUGGACCUUUAAGGCAAUUUAAUUAGAACAAUUUUGUCACAGAAUUAAAAGGAUAUUCGAACUUUGUAUAAACCCUAUCGGAAAAACAAACAUAGAGUGGAAAUUUUAAUUAAAGGAUAAAUUUUUAUGUGCUUUAAAAUGUUGAACAGUUAUUUUUUUUUUGGUAAGUAAAUUUCUGAACAAUUAUUUUUGUACAGAAUGACUAAUUUUGAUAACGUUUUAGCAAAACGUUAUAUGUGUUCAAAUCUCCUCUCUCCUUCCUCAUUUUUUAUAUCUCAUCCCUCCCUUUUUAAAAAAGUGAUACAUGUGUGAACAUAGAAGACGUGACAUUUAAAGCACAUAUAAACAACACUUUCAAAUGUGGAUAAUUCUUAAGUAUUUUUUUUAAAAAAAGAAUUCUCAAGUACACUAAACCUGGAAAAUUUUAUGAACAUGGCUGUAUUGAGUGUCGGAAUGAGGUGGAACUGAAUAAAAUUUAUGUGACAUUUAUGUGAGUUUUAGGUGGAAAUCAUGAGUUAUGAUUCGAUUAAACAAGACCAAACUUCAAUUAAGCAAUGCUAUUGAGGUGUAGUAUCAUGUAUUGAUUUAACCUUCAUAGCUUACUCGUAAUCAUUAUAUGAAAAAAAAAAAACUAAGAUGGGGCUACAAAAUUAGGAAAGAAUUUCGUGUUGAUUUGGAGUUAAAUAUCCAAAUCUCGUACUGUAGAACAAUUUCGAGCUUUUUGGUACGUGUAACAUAAACACAGUGUGUGACAGCUAAAGUGGACAGAGACAGCUUAGGAAAUUUGCACGGUUAGUAGAUGUCCCAGAAGACUAGAAGUCAAUUUCAACAAAUUGUUUAAGAUUGUACUAGCAACAACCAAGCUGUGUCAGCAGUUAUUGAAGGCAAGUCAUAAUGGGAGCAGGUAGAAGAAACUAUUGAAAGUGACAAGAGGUUGAAAGAGUAGAGCAUUAAUUAGCUGUGACACUGCGAUUAAUCAUUGGGGAUGGCUAGGGGAAGAUUUAUAGAGCCUCUCACUGUUAGAUUUAGGAAUUGAAUUGUGUGGCUGAAAAAUUCUCAUAUGCUAGAACGUGUUAGGGGGAAAAAAUUGCACUUAGAACAUGCAAGUAUUAUAUAUCUCAAAAUCAACACAAAAAGUGAAAAUCAUGAAUUCGCUAAAGAAAGAUAUGGAAUUUGCAAAAUCGAAUAUUUUAGACGAAAUCAAUCUUAAGUACAGGGUUAGCAUAAAUUUCAACAAUCCUCUGAUUUUAAUACCUAAAAAUUCAAUUAUUACAUGGGAAAAAUCUGGAACAUGGAAUGAGUCAAACUAUGUGUUUGGAUAGGAGAUUAUUUGACAUAUAAUUUUUGAAAAAAAUAUGCACAAUACUCUUUUUUGAUGUGAUGAAUAUAAGAUAAAAAAAAUGAUUGAAAAAUGUGUUGAUAAUGUAAACAAAUAAAUCUUACUAAAAAAAAGCAUUAUCCAAACAAAUAUACAAACUAGAUGACCUAUGCCAUGACGAUGGCAGAUAAUCUUUCUCGAGGAAAAAUAUGACCAAACUUUGUUUUCUUUCCAAGUAUGUUAAAUUUAUGGGAAAAUUUCGUAAACCUCCCCUGAGAUUUUAUGAAAUAUCACCUAGCUUCCUUGAGGUUUUCAAAAUUUCACUUAGCACCCCUCGAAUUGACAUUUUGGUAAAAUUGGAAGCCCUUCUAACCAAAGUAAUAUUAAAAAAUUCAUGUUUGAGAAGAGAGAUUAUUUUAGUGCCUUUAAUACCCUUAGACUAUAAAAAAUGGACAUUUUACAAACCAAGAAAAAAAAAAGUACUAAAUCAGAACCAUUUUAAAAGAAAGGAGAUGAAAAUUGGUAAGAUUUUAUGUUACAGUCAAUAGUCACUUCCACAAUAAGAAGAGAUGGUAAAAGCAAAUAUUAUUUUUUAAACCAUUUUUACAAAUAGAACCCCUUCAUAGCGUUGAAGGUAAUUAGCAUGUAAAAUCAUAUAUUUGAGCAAACAAAACUUAGUAAUAGAUGAAAUUCAACUUCAAUAUCAUACAAAGAAUUUACUCAAAAUAGACAGACUUUUUUUAUGGGUGCGAAAUAUGAAAAUUUUAUUAUAGAAAAAGUCAGAAUUUGAAAAAUUGUAGUCCGAAGUUUUAAUUACUUUAUUUCUCUUGCGCUCUACAUGAAUAGGAAUAAAUAAAUAAAGUUGUGAAACAUCAAAAAAAAGAAAAAAAUAAAAAGAACCUGCAACUAUUCUUCUCCAAAUGCGUUAAAUAUUUCAUUGAUUAAAUCCUAUAUUUUAUUGAUAUUUGCAAUUCAAUUAUACAUACACACACACACACAUAUAUAUAUAUGUAUGUAUGUAUGUUUGUUUGUUUGUUUGUUUGUAUAGACAUUGUUAAAGAAAAGUUGGAAAUUUAGGAAAAGAAAAACAAGUUUAUAAAAUUUAAAUAUGAGGGUAUUUUUGACAAUUCAUCACAUUUGAUAUUAGUAUAUGUCCCUACUAUCACUUCAAGGGUGCUACGUGAGAUUUUGAAAAGUUUAGGGGAGCUAGGUGAUAUUUCAUGAAACCUCAAGAGCGGUUUCUAAAAUUAUCCCUAAAUUUAUCCUUAAAUAUAUCUUAUUCCCUUUAUGUUUUGAGCGGUUUCUAAAAUUAUCCCUAAAUUUAUCCUUAAAUAUAUCUUAUUCCCUUUAUGUUUUGAGCACUUUAAUCCAAACUCCAAGCUGUCUUUUCAGCCAAUCGUGGGAGCUCCGCUGAAAUAUGAUAUUUGUUAGGUGAAAAAUAAAUUAAUAAAUUAAAACCAGAAGUCAUGAAGUCAACAUACAGAAUGGGAUAAAUUAUGGUAAAUUACUAUACGAGUCCGUUGUUCUAAAAUUUUAUCACACAAUCCCCCUAUUAUUCCACAAUAUCCAAUUGAUGCCCCGUGACUUUGUGUAAAAUUCAGAUUAGCCGAAAAGCAAGACCUAAUAAAUUACAAAGGAAUGUGCAUAGUUGUUUUAAAUUUGAAUACUCAUUAGUCGUCUCAAUGGUUUAUUAUUAUUAUUUUUUAAAAUAAAUCUGAAGACUAAAACUUCCAGGGAGACAAAAGGGAGUACUGGACUAUUGGCAAAUGGCAACAAAAUAGGGAACAAAUCAAAAUGAAUUGUUAUUCAAGAAUCAUAGAGAGUUUCAAAAACAAAAUUUUUUUUGAGAGCAAGCAAAUUAAUUAAGUUGUUACAUGGUAGUCCUUUUUAAGUAUAGAGCAAAACUAUGGCCCUUUGAGUGGAGCGGUUUUUACCAAUUUGGCUAAACGUUGCAAUUGCUAUGCUUAAUUUUGUUGUCGAUUUCGUGUGACUAUUUAAAAUUGGCAUGCCAUAAAGGCCGAAGAGUGGGAAUUGCUGUAUUAAAAUCCUAUAGGUUCGAUUAAACUUCGUAUUACCGUAUCAAAGUAGAGAAUAUGAGCAUAUCACUAACAACAAAAUGAGGUGAACGUAUUCAUUUCAUUUUUUUUCCUAACAAGGGAGGUAUGGGGGUUUAAGAAGUAGUGAGGGAAAAAGGGAAAUUAGAACGUAAAAGCUCUAUAUUUAGGGUCUCAACCUUCAAAUUUAGCCACUAAGCCAAUGUCUUCUCAGCGCAUAUUCAUUUCAUUUGAUGAUUCUAAGUGGCCUUGCGGUGGAUAGUUAAUCAGAGCCGGACUAUGACCUUAACCCUCAUUUGGAAAACAAUUUAGCUUUAAUUAUUUCAUGUAUUCAAAAUCGCAUUCAGGGCUGCAAUCAAAUUGACGUCACAAUUCGAUCUAGGUGACGGUGCAGCAAUUGCCAGUUGAAUCAUAGGCAUAUUUUAUAUUUACAAUAUCGAUUGUUAUGAAAAAAGAAGUCAGAAUCCAAUGAUGGAGCCAAGGGGGGCAGAGGGGGGCCAUGGCCCCCCCUAAGUUUUGAGAAUUUUAAUUCAUAAUAUGUAAAUAUGUGUGUAAAAUAAAAUUGGCCCCCCCUAAAUUUUUACAAUUUUAGUUUAUAUUAUGAAAGUUGAUAUAUAUAUAUAUAUUAGUCAUCUUUGAAUGGAAUGGCUUGCAAACUUUAAUUUGCCAUGAAUGUCCAUAUGCCUAUUACAUUCAUUGUUUGGCUCAUAGGCUUCAAUUUGCUUUAGUUGCAGCUUCUAGAGAAGUAGCUUCUGUUCACCAAUUCUUCUCCAAUUUAGUUUUCAUUAUCAACAUUGUUACUACAUCUAGCAAAUGUAAUGAUGAAUUAAAGGAGGCUCAAGCAAUUGAAGUUGCUACUAAGAUUGCUAAUGGUGAACUUGAAACUGGAAUGGGGCUUAAUCAAAUUGGCACUUUAAAACGAGCUGGAGAUACUCGUUGGGGUUCUCAUUUGGAUUUUAUUUCUAGUUUACUGAAAAUGUUCAAUGCUACUUGUGUGGUUUUAAGUAACAUUGCAGUAGAUGGAGGUUCAUACUCUCUAUGUGGAGAUGCAAAUUUUGUUUUGAAUCAGUUGUUAUCUUUUAAGUUUGUUUUCACUUUGCAUCUUAUGAAAGAUAUUGUGGAAAUUACUCAUCUUUUUUGUAUAGCAUUGCAACGUAAAUUUCAAGAUAUUUUGAAUGCAAUAUAUCUUGUCUCAAGCACAACAAAGCUACUGAAGAAUUUUCGAGAUUCAGGAUGGGAUGAUUUUUUGGUGAAAGUUAAAUUAUUUUUUGAGCAACAUCAAAUUGAUAUCCCAUGUAUGAAUGCUCAAUAUAUUGCAAGACGUGGUAGAUCUUGAAGUCAUCAUGAUGAGAUUAGUGUGGAGCAUUAUUAUCGAAUGGAUAUAUUUCUUGCAACAAUUGCGAGAGUUACAUAGCAAGUUUAAUGAUCAUACCGUGGAAUUGCUUGUUUUGAGUACUGCUUUAGAUCCUAGAAAUGGAUUUAUGCUGCUCAAGAUUGAUGAUAUUUGUAAACUUGCAGAGAAGUUCUAUCCGAAUGAUUUUAUGGAGCAAGAACUAGUACGUCUAAGAAUAGAACUUCAACAUUUUGAACUCGACAUUUCAAAUCAUCCUGAAUUGCAAGAAUUAUCUGGUAUUCAUGAGUUAUGCCAAGGCUUGGUGAAGACAAGAAAAUCAGUAAUAUAUCCUCUUAUUGAUAGAUUGAUUAGACUUGUUCUUACUCUUCUUGUAUCAACUGCAAUUACAGAGUGGACAUUUUCAAUUAUGAAAAUAAUCAAGACAAAACUCCAAAACAAGAUGGAAGAUAAUUUCUUGAAUGAUUGUCUAACUGUGUAUAUAGAAAAGGAAGUUGCUGAAAAAUUUAGCAGUGAUUCAAUCAUAGAUGAAUUUAGUUCUAUGAAAGAGUGUAGAGCUCAAUUUACUUUUAAGAAAAGAUGUUGAAAUUUCGAAGUAUGUUAACAUAACUUUUAUCUUUUUUCAAUUGAAAAUAGUUACAUUAUAUUAUAUAUAUAUAUAUAUAUAUAUAUAUAUAUAUAUAUAUAUAUAUAUAUAUAUAUAUUGCAUAGGUGACAUAUUGGAGAGUGUCUUCUCAUAAUGUGCAAAUUGGAUGGUUUGUGAUGCUAUAAGAUAUUUAAUCAAAGGUUAUCUUUUUUGUUAAUUUUUGUUAUGACUGUAUUGCAUAUUGAUGAAUAGACGUACCUUUAUAAUUAAAUUUAAUAUUUGAUAUUUUUAGAUGUGAUAUAUUUAAAUAGAAGAAAAUUAUUUUGAACAUAAUAUAUUAAGAUAAUUUUAUUAGGAAAAAAUUUUGGCCCCCCAAAAAAAAAUUCCUGGCUCCGUCACUGUCAGAAUCGGCUUUGAAAUUCAUUCUUGAUUGUUUCUAGCAGAAAAAAGAAGAAUGAGAAAAUAUUUUGGACCCACAGUAGAGCACAUUUAUGUCGAGUAACUACAUAGUAUUGCUAGCUAAGAAAAAUUAAAUGAAGAUUUAAAACGCCGACGUUAACUGUCUUGUCUCUUAUUCCUCCACUAUUCUUUUCUCUUAAAUUGAUAUUUCAACAAUCAUCAUAGCAUUUUAAACGAUAAUAACAAUAUAUAUAUAUAUAUAUAUAUAUAUAUAUAUGUAUAGCUAAUCAUAUUUUUUACACAUUUCCUCAGAGUUGCAUUAUGCAAAGGGUCAAACCACAAUAUUCUAAAAGUUUUGGUCUUAAAAGUCAUUCUCCUUUUAUUUGACUAAUUCUUCCUGCCGGCCUGCUUCUCUUCAGCCUAAAAUUGCUCCCCACUUGUUCGUAUUCUUCUUAUGUUCUAUUCCGCGACCUUUUCCAUUUCCUACAUUGUUAAACCGUGGAACGAAUUGCCAGCCUGCAAUGUUCAAGGCAAGCCCAUUUUAGAUCUAAGAGAAAAUAUCAAUCUUCAAAAAACUUCAUAGCAAAUUAAACAAAGAUUGAUAACAAGAUUUCUUGUUUUACAGUUUCUUCAAGAUCAAAUGAGCUCCAUACUGGGGUUGAAGAGUGAGCACAACUUGAGGAGCCUGUGCAUAACUCGGCGAAAGCUCCCAAGAAAAGCGCCGUAAGAUCAAAGCCAGCGCCAUCUUUGCUUCCAGCAUAGCAAAAUUUUGCCCCAUGCAAGUUCGAGGUCCCCAACCAAAUGGAAAGAACGAGAGAUUGCCUUUUGUAGCCUUUGAAACUCCUUCACUGAAUCUUUCUGGAUUAAAUUCCUUCGCAUAUCACCCCACACAGCGACGGAGCCAGGAUUUUUUUCAUGGGGGGCCAAAAUUUAUCAAAUAUAUGGCAUCUUAAAAUAUCAAAUAUUAACUUUAAUUAUAAAGAUAUGUCUAUUUCAUAAAUAUGUAGCAUAGUCAUAACUAAAAUUAAGACAAGAAAUAACCUUUGAUUAAAUAUCUUAUAAUAUCACAAAUCACCUAAGUUGCACAUUAUGAGAAGAUGCUCCAAUAUGUCACUUGUGCAAAAACAAAAAUAUAACUAUGCAAUAUAAAUAUAACUAUUUUCAAUUAAAAAGAGAUAAAAAUUAUGUUAACAUAUCUUGAAAUUUCAUCCUCUUUUAUUAAACGUAAAUUGAGCUUUACGUUCUUUCAUAGAACUAAAUUCAUCUAUAAUUGAAUUAAUGCUAAAUUUUCGAACAACUUCCUUUUUUUAUGUACAUUGUUAGACAAUCAUUCAAAAAAUUAUCUUUUAUCUUGUUUUGGAGUUUUGUUUUGAUUAUCUUCAUAAUUGAAAAUGUCCAUUUUAUAGACUAUAGAACGAAGCAAGGAUUUUUUCCUUGGGAGGGGGGCCAAAAUUUUUUUUAACAAAAUUAUCUUAAUAUGUUAUAUUCAAAAUAAUUUUCAUCGAUUUAAAUAUAUGACAUCUUAAAAUAUCAAAUAUUAAAUUUAAUUAUAAAGGUAUGUUUAUUUCAUAAAUAUGCAGCAUAGUCAUAACAAAAAUUAGGACAAGAAAUAACAUUUGAUUAAAUAUCUUAUAACAUUACAAACUAUCCAAAUUGUACAUUAUGAGAAGAUGAUCCAAUACGUCACUUGUGCAAAAAUAAAAAUAUAACUAUGCAAUAUAAAUAUAAAUAUUUUCAAUUAAAAAAAGAUAAAAGUUAUUUUAGCAUACCUUGAAAUUUUAACCUAUUUUCUUAAAAGUAAAUUGAGCUUUACAUUAUUUCAUAUAACUAAAUUCAUCUAUAAUUGAAUCAGUGCUAAAUUUUUGAACAACUUCCCUUUUUUUAUGUAUAUUGUUAGACAAUUAUUCAAGAAAUUAUCUUUUAUCUUGUUUGCAGUUUUGUUUUGAUUAUAUUUAUAAUUGAAAAUGUCUGUUCUAUAGUAGUAGUUGAUACAUGAAGAGUGAAAACAAAUAUAAUCAAUCUGUUAACAACAUGAUAGAUCACUCAAUUUCUUGUUUUUACCAAGCCUUCAAGUAAUUAUUUGUAUAUUUGUAUAUGGGUCCACAAGAGGAUAGAUCACUAAUUUUAAAUUUUUUUUAUCAAUUAGGCUAAGUUGUAUAUUUGUAUAUGGACCAAUAAAGUAAUUAUUUUUAUUUUAGCCCAUUCAUAAUUAUGAAUUGAGUCUUUUAUUAUAAUAUAUCAAACUGGGUCAAUUUACUAUGGAUCAUCAAAUUAUAUGUUUAAUUUUUUGAAUGUUAAAUAAUUAGCACAAUAAAAAAUAAAUAACUUUUUUUGAAGAAAAAAUUAAAUCAAAAGUGGCUAAUUCACACACACACACACACACAUAUAUAAACUCUCAGUAUAUAAACUAAAAUUGUAAAAAAUUAGGGGGUCAACUUUGUUUUAUACAUAUAUUUACAUACUAUGAAUUAAAAAUUCAAAACUUAUGGGGGAUCAUGGCCCCCUCAGCCCCCUUGGCUCCAUCAUUGACCCCACAAGUCUUUGUCCUGCUGCAGCAAGACUGGGGCCACAAAGAUGAACAUUCCUUCUGGAAGUGACAGUUCGCCUAAUUUAGUUUCUUCGGGAAUCAUUCGAAAAAGAUUUGCUGCCGGUGGAUAUAGCCUUAGAACCUCGUUAAGGAUCAUGGUAACCUUUAGAAAAAUAAACGUAAACAGAAGAAUGAUUAGUGGAGAUUGGAUCAACUAUCAAAAAAGUGCUAAGAUGGGAGCAUAAUUUUGCAAGUUAUACUUACAAUUUUGAGGUGAUUUAAUUUACUAAUAUCAGGUUCAUUGUUGUCAAAAACCUGUAGAACCUCAUCUCUGGCACGAGCCUGCCAAUCAAAAUGUUGACUCAAUAAAAUUAAUGUCCAGGCGAGCAAUCCUGAGGUUGUCUCUUGUCCAGCCAAAUAGAAUAGCUUGCACUCCUCAAUGACUUCUUCAAGGCUCAUGCAGUUCUUAUUUCCAUGUUGUCGGAUCUCAUUAAAAUUGGAUUCCAAUAAAAUACGCAACAAGUCAUCACUUGUAGCUUCACCUGUUUGAAUUUCCUUCAGCCUUUCGUUGAUAUUGCCCAUAACUAAUGAGUUUACUUCCUUGAAAAUCUUCUGCAUUCUUUUGUUUCUUUCUGUUGGCACAAAACUGAAUGCAAAAUAGCAAUAACCAAAUAAGCUAAAUGAUACAAUUACAAACUAGAAAUUGAAAGACAGUACCGUACCUCCACCCUGGAAGGCAAAUGGAUUGCAUAACUUGCUCAAUAUACAAAGCCUGUUCUCUUUGGAGUUCAAAGAUCCUUCGCCCUUUUUCAUGGUUGCUACCAAAAGCUGUUCUUGAAAUUACAUCACCAGUAAAUGUUUGAAGCUAAGGCCACACAUCUAAUUCAAAAGAUCCUUCUGCGGAGGCAAGGUUCUCCCAUUUGCUUAACAUCUCAUUACAACUCAGAUAAAAUGCUGGCACCAUGUACUACAUGUGAAGAAGAAUCAACAGCGUAAGUCUUCCAGCUUUUAUGUUCUUCAUUAAUCAAAAAGUAAGAAUGGAAAUAUUAUUCAGUGAAAUUUUAAAAUUGGAAAGGCUGCAUUUGGUUCUUUAUCUGGACUAGAUUGGAACCAUAACUACAUUUAUAUGAUGCAAUACCAAACACUAGCCAGUCCCAUGUCUGAUAAAUAACAAGAAACGUUCAAAAGCGUGUAAGAUAUUGAAACAGCACCAAAUUUCAGCAGAAAAAGCUAGAAACAACCUUCAAUUUCUCUACAUGAAAUGCAGGAUUCAAUAAUCUUCUGUGUUUGGCCCAUUUUUCUGUAUCCAGGCUAGCAAGUCCUAGUGCUAGAAGUUUACUGAUUGGAUUUGCCCGAGGCUUCUGACAAGUACAAAUUUUUUUGUGAAGACCUAAUUUACUUGUUCAGGAUCCAAGAUAACCAUUGCCGGCCUUGGUCCAAGCCAAAAAAAGCUAUUUUUACCUACAAAAUAAUUUUUGAUAAGCAACUUAUCCACUCUUUUAAAAAAAAGAUUGGGUCAACCCAUAUAUGAAAUGCAUGAUUGCCGAAAAAACACAGCAAACCAAAUAGUCUUCGGGCAAAUUUGGAGAACAAACCUUUAUGUUGCAUUGUUUCAUUGAUGAAGGGCAUGAUUCUAGGCAGGAUAUCAUCUGUUAAAGAAAUUGGUUUGGACUUAGCCUCCUCAAGCAUCCUUCCCAUGUCUCUGGUGUCUCCAAACAAGAACCCGUAAGAGUUUCCCUGUAGACCUUGCCGCCUGAGGCGUUUCUCCAUCUUCUUUGGUGUGAUCCAAGCCCAAUUCAAGAAUCUCCAUGCCCCGAUGAGAAGAACUAUAACUGAUGAAGCUCCAAUCGAGCUAUAGAAAAAGUCCAUUUUCUCUGAUGCGCUUCCACUCCUUCAGUCAAACUUUCUGCUGGCAGGGGGAACUUGCUAAGCGGUUAGUUAUUAAGGAGGGAGAACCUCAACUUUGGGACACAUCAUUCUGAAAUCUAUGCAUAUCCAUCUGUAAAAUCGGUAAAGACAAAGUAGCUUGAAGGUAUGUUCUAUGUUUACGGCAUCUGCAUAAAUGGAGAUGCUCUGCGACUUCAACACUCACCUAUAAAGGACAUUUGAGCCUUUAUUAUUCUUGUUUAUGGUAAAAUGAUUUUUCUACUCGUUCACUUAAAUUACGCUUAAUUUACUAUAUGAACACACAUAAUACAAUUAUUAUAUCCUCUGUAUUUAAACGCUUUCCUGGUAACUACACUUUUUGUAAAAAUAUUAGCACUCUUGAGGCCCUCCUGACAAAUCAACAAAGCUAGAUUAUCCUGCAAACCUGGCAAAUCACCAUCAAAAGUCUUUUUCUAUCUGCCUUCUAGAAAGGAGUCAGUUCAAUAAAUAGAACUUGAGAAUUUGACUUUUGAUUUACCGUAAAGAAGAAGAAGAAAACUUCAACCGGCCAACUCGUCUGAACAGUCAUCCAUGGCUAUUGUUAGAAUAGCUAAUCUUUGAGCAGUCAUCCAUGGCUAUUAUUAAUGUGCUAAUGAGUAAUAACAAUUUGCACCCCUCAUCUGAACCAUAAACAAUUAAUUGUAGCACUGUUGAACAAAAAAGUAAUUGUAGCACUAAAGUGCAUUGUGUUUUUGCUGGAAUCUAUUUAAAGAAAAAACAUUUUGUGGCUACAGUCAAAUGAAAAGAUUUUAGUACCCUAAUGUAAUAGAUGCAGAUUAGGAGUAUCAAAGUCCUUUUCAUUUAAAAAUAGCAAGGGAAAUUCAAGGGUUUGCAAAUUAGCUAAACAAAGUGCUGCAAAUUGAUAGCACGAGGUACAGAAGUCCUAAAACUGAUAAUUGAAGAUAGUUUAGGGGAAAAUGCUGCAAUAAGCUUUGGAUGUAAUUUUAAAUACUUGAGCAUGAGAAGGUCGCAUGUAGAACUAUAUCUAAGGAUCAAGAAUUUUGAUGCGAAAAAUGGCGAAUUUUUUUGUUACAGUCUUGACUCUCAAUGGUUUGGAAACAAAAGAUCAAUGUGAAAUUUGUUUUUGAUCAACUGCGUCCUAUAAUGCAGUCCUUUUUAACCUAUUAACAUUAAUACUUUGCAAAAUAGCAGUAACUCCAAAAUCUUAUUGUAAUUGCACCAAAAGUUUAUUAAACCUUACAGAAGCAGCAACCUAAAAGGCUAGCAAGAUAAGCAACAUGUAGCAAUUACAGAAGUCCUGGAAUCGCUGGCGUUCAUGAAGGAGAUGAUUCAGAUAACAGAUUUAUUUUACAGUUUCUUCAUAAUCAACUGAGUACCAUACUGAGGAUGAAGCAGGGUAAGAAACAAGUAUAGGGCAUGCGUAUACAAUGGAGAAAGCUCAAAGGAAAAGCGCUGUAAAAUUAAAGCUAAUGCCAUUUUUGCUUCAAGCAGAGCAAAGUUUUGCCCAAUGCACAUCCGAGGUCCCCCACCAAAUGGCACAAAACACGGCUGGCCCUUAGUAGCCUUUGCAACUCCCUCGCUAAAUCUCUCCGGGUUGAAUUCCUUUGCAUCAUCACCCCAUAAACUUGGAUCAUGAAGUAGCAAGAUUGAAGGCAUCAAGACAAUCAUUCCAGCAGGUGGAGAUUAGUUCCCCUAAUUUAGUGUCUUCGUUAACCCUCCGGGAAAUCAUAACUCCUGGCGUAUAUAGUCUUGGAACCUCAUUAAGGAUCAUAGUCACCUGUAAAAGAAGAAUUACAAACCGAUGCUUAAAUGGAGUGUGAACUUCGUUCCAAGAGAAGAAAAUUGUAAGAUAACUAUCCAGACAAUGUCAACUAAUAGCUGUUGCCUACUAGAAAGCAGAAACAUUACACUACACUCGGAUAUCGUUGUGCUUCAGGUAAUGGCAAAAGUAAAACAUGUCCUGAGUGAAUGGAAUGUUAAGCUAUGAUAUUCCUUAUGAAGUCUUCUGCAUCCGAACCCACGAAACUAAUUAUUCAUCAAAAGAGAACCUAAAAAACAAGUCUGAAAUGUGGCCAACAUUCAUGAAAUUCGAGUUUAGUCACUGCAGAUUGGUGAAACAAAACUGAAAUUCUUGAAUAAUAUCAAACUAUUCUGUCAUCAGAGCUUGUCCUCUUGAUAAAUUGAAGCUACUUACAAUUUUCAGCCAAUUUAAAUCUUCAAAAUCCGGUAUAUUGUUGCCAAAGACCUGAAGAAUCCCAUCCCUAGCACGAGCUUGCCAGUCUGAAUGCUUGCUCAACAAAAUUAGCGUCCACACAAGCAAGAUUGCAGUUGUCUCAUGUCCAGCAAAAAAGAACAGCUUGCACUCCUGAAUGACCUCUUCAGAAGUCAUCCCAAACCUUUCAUUCCCAUGUUCUUGGAUCUCCUUGAAGUUGGGUUCUAGAAGUAAACCCAACAUGUCACUAUGAAAAUUUUCUUCAUAUUUUUUGUUUCUUUUACGGAAUAUCUAGUAAUGUGAUAGGACGAUUUUCUGCAGCAAAUCAGCCUUGGAUUGAUCUCUUUAUAGAUUAAGAGAUGUCACAUGUUGGUUAUAAUCAUCCAAGUGAUGACCUUUCAUUACUAAAGUUGUUACUUCUAUUCUAAUAGUACUUGAAUGAUUAAUUGUUGUACUUCACACUUGAAUGAACAGCCACAAAUUUUGUUAUUUUGUGAACCUUGAAACCUUUCAUCUUUUGAAAAUCUCCGACAAAUUCAUGGUGAUUAAAAAUUUUGCAAAUAAAGUCAACUCAACUGAGAUAAUUUGAUUCUCUGUAGUUUAAUUUCUUCAACAAAUGUUUGACCAGGAAGAAAAAAUGGUGAGUAUAGCCUUAAAACCUCAUGCAAGAUCAUUGUGAUAUGUGAGAAAUGGAAGGAGACUACUUAAGACAAUUUAUUGGCAUAUGAGAAGCUGCAACCUAUCAUGAGUUGACUUAUAUCUUUUAGGUUAAAAGUUCUUUUACGUACAAUAUGCCAUAGAUUUUGGUAUAUAAUUGACUUAAAAUCUUUUAGGUUAUACAGACCAUCAAAUUGUGAUAUUUUUGGUCCCAGCAAUGUGUUGCAAAAUCUAUUCUCUAGCACGUUCUUGCUAGUCUGGGCAGAUGCUGAAUACAACAGCUUACACUCUUCAAUAAUUUCUCUUGUAAUCGCACAGAAUUUCGUCUUGUCUAAGCUGCAUUGGAGAUCCACUUACCACGAAGAAAUAUUUUUGAAUACUAGCUAAUAAGAUUUACAGACUACUGAUUAAUGUUUGAGAACAGCUGUUAAAUGAUUUUAAGCCAUGACAAGCCAUUUGUUUUCUCCAUUAUCAAAGAAAAAGGAAAGAUCUCUUGCAAAAUUAAACAAGCAGAUGUAAUAUUUCUCUCUUAAUUUGCCGUGAGAAAUACAUUACGUGAAUCUGUACUGCUAUAUUCAUACAGAUCCAUUGACAUACCGAACUGGGCGGGACUUAAACUAGUUUACAAGCAAAGUUAAGCAUAGAAGAUGGUGCUUUAUUUCGUUAAAAGAUAAUCUGCUGCCACAUACCGGGCUAGCAAGUCAAGUCAUAUAUAUGAAACAACAAAAACUAUAUUAUCUUCUGCAAAAUCAAGUGAGCUCCAUACUGGGGUUGAAUUAGUGCUGUAGCCGUUCCAGGAGCAUGAGUAUAAGAUGGUGAGAGUUCAAAGGAGAAGCGUUGCAGAAUCAUAGACAUUGCCAAUUUUGCUUCCAACAUG